UCCUAUCUUCUUCUUUUCAUUGCCAUUAUCUGGUUUUGCGUUUGUUUUAUUCUCUUCUUUACUCAUGCCCCAGAUGCUUCUCUAGUUGACUUUCUCUAAUAGGCAUGAGAGUUUCUUCAGUGAUGUGCUUCCGCUGUGGUGAUGCUCUUGCUUUUAUCUUCUACUUUUGAACUUCAUUCCCUUUUUUCAAAGAUAACACACAGGUGUUAGUGGAGAAGAAAAGAUAGAGAAUCUAUCACUUUAGACCUUAAUUUUCUGUUGUCUUAUGAUCAUUGAUCCAAAGUCCAAUUUCAAUCAUUUUCAGAUUGAUCUUAACAACCUUUACCUUAAGGGUUAGAUUUUAUACUGCAGGGAUUGUCUCCCAUGUGUGUACAAUCGUGUAGCUGUGACAUGCCAUCUAUGUAUAACUAUCUAAAAAAGGAAUGUGCUUGGCAUAUCAACUUGGGAAUGCAAGAUCUCAGGCUUGGUGCUUGUGCUCUAGAAUCUAAUAUUGUGGAAUCCUCUUGGGUUUCUCACCUUCUGUUUCUGGAUGCUCUCCCAUGAUUGCCCCAAAUUUUUACUUUUUGUUCCCCUAUUUAUUUAUGAAUUGCAUUACUUCUUUUUCAUGUCUAGUUCAGGAUACAUUUCAUGACGUAUCCUUUAUGGGGAUCUUAUACUGUUUUCCAGUUUUCAAUUGGUGGGGAUCCUCUUUAUAGAGAUACCUGUAUUUGUAUUGUACCUUGCUAUUGUCCCUUUUGGUUCCUUUUUUGACAAUAUUAUCAUUCUAGAGUGACAAAUUUUCCAUGUUGUCAAUCAAAUAGCUCAAAUCAAAGUUUUAGUGGUGAUCUAGACGUAAUCAAGUCAUUGACUUGAUUGAAUAGUGACCUAUGUGUCGCAUCUUUCUUAUGACAGGCUGCGACAGCAAUGGUGCAACAAGCUAUGCAAUAUGUUGACCAGACACUUGAUCUUGAGACCAAGAUAGAGCUUAUUAAUACACAUAACUCUGUUGUCACUGGGAAGAUGAAUAUGUGAAGUCAAACUCUGGUGGAGCUUAUGUUCAUCAGCAAUCUGCUUUUAUUUCUUGAUUUCUGUAGCUAGUUUCGUAAUGCAGUUAUAUUUUGAAAUUGAGAGAGCAUGAUUGUUCAAGAAACUUGCAAAAAUAAAGGAAGAACAGGGUCUUCUAGAAGUACCAAUUUGAUGCAAGAAAUGGGGGUAACUAGAAGUUAACUUCUGUUCUCACUGAUCUUGUAAUUGGUUUUCCCUUGUCCUACAUUCCUAUGACAGUUUGAAAUGCAGGUAGGAACUUUUGGACCAAAGGCAAAGACGGAGAAAAUUGCCUUUAUUUUUGAACAAGUGCGGGAUUUUUGUAUUGCUUUUAGCCAUUCCUGCAUUAUUACUAUGAUUGGUUUUUCUGAUCGAUGGAUUUUGCAGGUUUAUCUGUGCAAGGGUUAUGUCUGUGCACGUAUCAUUUCUAGGAAGAUCAACUCCCGAGUGUUUGAUGCAAAUCCUUCCAUAGUAAAGAAAAAGUCUAAAGAAGGUGAAAACAUCGUGGAACGAGCGUCAGCUGAUAUUCCAUCUCUUCUGGAGUUGAAACAGAUAUGCAAUGACUCAUGAUAUGGUAAAUUGGUGUUUUGCUUUUCGAAUGUUGUGUCCACUAUCUUUGACUAAUUUGUUUUUGCUGAUCAAGUGCCACCUGGUAUUCAGGUUGUGGUUCACCAUGUACUUGUAUGGCUUUAUAUAUCUGGCACAUACUCUUCUUUCUUUCUAGCUGUAUCACAAACUAUGACGUUCUAGAUUUACUUGAUGGAUUUAAACUCCCAUCUCAGUUUACCUCACAUUUAUGUAGAUAACAAUGUAGGUAUUACUCACAUAACAAUGAUUGCCUUGAGAUUUGUCGAUACCAUAAGGGGAUAUAUGAGAUUCCAUCAGUAAAAGGCAACCCAGAGCAGUGGAUAUGGGUGAAGCUCUUUCCUUGUUAAGUCUUCACUGAGUUUUUUAAGCCAAAGCUGUUCAUACUGUGAUUUAAUUAAAUGCAGGUUUAAGGAAAAUCUGCUGGUACUUAGUUUUAUCACCACAUGAUCCUAUGCAAUCAAGCCUUCUUAAUGCAACUCUAGAAGAUAAACAUCUCUCAGGAAUUCCCCAAUUCAGGUACCAUCUUUAAAUUGUGCUAGGUAAUUGAUUGUUGAUCUUGCAAUAUCUCAAUAAUGUGCCAUAGGAUUUGGUCAACCAUACCUUUGAUAUUUUAAUGUAGGUUGCUGCUGAAACAAUUGGUCACGUUGGAGGCUCACAGACUCCUCUUUAAAAGAACUUUCAAAUGUGAAUUUGAGAAUGAGAAAACGUGCUAGCAGGUGUACUUGUUGGGAAUUAGAUAAGGCCCAAUCAUAGUCAAAAGAAGAAUUUUGGCUUCUCCUUGGCAAGACAAGCUACCUUUCUAGGAGCCUCUUCAGAGAAUCAUUGAACAUGUAAUUACAGAACUUGUUGUUUUUCUUCUUUUCAUUGGAUCAUCACUCAGAUGUGACUCAGUCCGUUUUCUGCAAAAUAUUAUCAUCGUUUUGAAGUAUUGCUCAAGGAUUACCUUAAAGAGACUUGCAAACUUGUUAUCCUCAGUAUCCAGGUCUGAUUAUGUGGAACAUUUGUUGAUGUUCUUUAUCAGUGUCACUCUUUAUGAAUGAUUGCCUAGACCCCUCAUUUAACCCUAAGCAGCUUCUCUGCUUGUGAUCCCUAAUUGGGGCAUGGCUACUGGACUUGGAUAAAAGAGGUUUUGGUGCAUUGAAAGCCAAAGAUUUGUCAUGGAUUUGAGGAUGCUGUCUUCAUUGUUUUGUUUUGUAAACAUUCUGACCGACAUAUAUGUGAUCUUUUUUUUUGGCUUAGUCGGCUUCUGCUCAUAAAUUUGUUGUAGCUAUAAGCGUCAUUGUCUGGCAUUGUGAAACCAUUUCUUGUCCCAUUGAACCUGAAUCUUUAAUGCACUUUAGAAGCGUGGAAGGAGCUCUGCUAUAUUGCUAGAAAUAGCUGAAUCACUUGAAGAAGAUCUUUGUGUUUGGGUUCUCUUACUCUAUUGUUAAGAGCUUUAAUCAAUCACAUUAAAUUAACACCUAUCAUUUGACACAUAGACCAUAUAAUGAUAAUUAUACACGCCGGUAUGAUAUUCUAUUGUCUUCACCUCUUAUUUCUAUAUUACCUUUUUAGGAAGCUGAGAAGCAUCUCUCCUUAGCAGUUGUUGCCAAGUACCUGGUGGCAAUGGCAAAGAUAGACCAGCCAAUGAGAAUUGUCAGUUUCGAAACAGCACAGCAGCUAGAUUUUGAACUUGGGCGACAAAUUUGGAAAAGCUGCUUGACCUUGUUGAGAAAAGUUGCCACAAAAUCUCCAAGGAAACCACAGUUUAUGAGGCUGCUUUGAGAGCUUGAAUUGGUUGAAUGAAUGAUCUCUCUUGUCUCGAGGCUUCCUACAUCCUUUCCCCACUCUCCCUCACCGAAAAAUGCUGUUUCACAUUGUGGUGGGGACUGGAGAUAUUCAUCAUAGAACUUUCGCCGUAGCUGUCUCAAAUUUGAUUGCAUAUUUUGUGGGGGGACCAGAUCCCAGCCUUGUUUCGGACUGAAAUGAUGUACUGAAUACACUUUCUCUAUAGAAAUGGAGUUUGGUCUUUUCAUCUUUCCUAUUUCCUCUUUUCUCCCUCCUUUUAAUUGAAGAUUUGCGGGCUUUCAGGGUCCAGAAAAUGUACCAAUGGAACAGGUAUCAGCACAAGAUGUGCGCUCAUUUGGACUGAAAUAGCGCCACGUUACAGAAUUGUGUUUCGCAUUACAAAUAUUGUUGUUGCUUGUAUUUUUUCUAACACCGGGGAUAACUCUGCAGAUUAAAGGCUUAAUUAAUGCUACUUUUUCAUUUCAUUUCAUAUUCAAAAUGAGCACCUGUUUCUAGGGGGCUUCAUUUCAAUAAUAUAUCUGCACUUUUUAUUUCCUCAAGGGACGUUAUUUUUCUGCAAGUUGAUACCUGUUAGGGAUGGACCUUGUUCCCUAAAAUUCCAGCUCCUUCAUUUGCUUCGUGGAAACUGAAAAAUUGGGAAAAGCUACGGCUACAUCUUUUGGCUGUGGAAAUAGUUAUGCCCACUAGUAAAUGGCACCAAUUUGUUGGUGAAAAGCACCAUUCUACUUUAUUCACAUAGUAAAUGUGCAAAAACACAGGCAAAGGAGAGAGAUCAACACAGCUGGAUUUAUGGCGCUCUCAACCCCCAAAAUUCGCCAGGUUCUUUCAAGCUCCUAGGGUAUAAGUUCGUAGUUUCGAUGUCCCUUCAAGUUCUCGAUGAACUGUUUAUGUGUUGAGUUCGAUCCUAAGAAGAUUCACUUCGUUUCUCCAAUCACUACGCAUUUGACUCUUCAGCUCAUUAGUCAUUCCAAUGCCGGGAUUUUUUCAUUACUGCGAUGAAGAUUUUGUUUUGGCAAGUGAUGUUCUAAAUUGACAUUCCAGUAUGCAAAUUUUUGUUUGCUGUUGCUUUCUUUUUCCUUUUUUUUUUUCCUUUGAUAAUCUUGGUCUUCAUGAUAUCAGAACUGCGAAAAGAGCCGAGUUUCAAAAUUUCAAAGGAGAACCAUAUAUAUGUUUCCAAAAAACACAUGAACUAUAUUACAAGUUUGAGCAAGGUUAUCUGUAUGUAUCAUAUUGCUGGAAUGGUGAGAAGAAGCCUUUUAACGAGUUCAUUCACUUUAUGAUGAGUAGCAACAUCUCACAGUCUAUCUAUAGUCCACCGGUAUCUAGUAGAAAUAAUGACCCUCAUGUAUUAUGCACUUACACAACAAGCUUACGGCAAUGCACAUGAACAGGUCUAGCAGUGUGACACCGAGAAAUGAAGCAUCACUUGCAGGUGGUGGUGGAGAUGUGGUGUUGCCGAUGGUUGUGUCUAGUAGUGACAGAGAUCUCGCUAGACUAGAGGUUGGGCCGAUGGAAGUUUCAUUGAUGGUGACAACCAAUUUUUGGCCGCGAGAGCAAUGGUUGCCAUGACGAAAGGUGUAAAUUCAAGCAAUACUCGCCAACUGCAGCGACAGAAAAGGCCGCCUGUCCGUUGCUUAAGGUGGUGAAUGGAGAAGCGGUGUUGCAGUUAUCGCUGUCAUCCUUUGACACGUAUGUGACAUUGCAGUUGUUGUUGUUGUCGGAACCUGUAUUGAACACUGUCAAAAUAUGAAGGAAAAGGCAAAGCGAGAAGAAGAAGGAUAGGGAUUUCAAUGUAUUUCUAUGACUUUUAUUCAAUGUACAGAGUUACAAUAUAUAUUACAGAGUAUGUGUAAAAGAAAAGGAAAUGAUACAAUGUACAGAUUAGAUCUGAUUUUAAUUGAUUCAAUAAAAUCCCUAUGAUUUGAUCUAAUCGAAUCUUUCCAAACUUUCUGCGUAUCUUCCAACAAACACUACAAAAAUGAAGGAAGAUCAUCCGGCAUUGAAGAGUGAAGCUCAAGAUUGAUUGCAGUUACAAGUAAUCAAGAACGGACUAGUCAAAGCAAAGUCCUUAAACACUAUGAUAAGCGGGUAUCUGAUUCCUACUCGAAGAACGCCAAAAUCAGAAGGCGCGUUGGGUCACCCACUCAAAGGACAUGGUGGUGUUGGAAUGGAUCCUUCUUCCUCUGAUUAUUUGCACUUAGCUAUUUUGGCUGGGCUUGUGUUAUAAUUUCAGGUCGAGGUUGCCCCUCAAAUGUCCAUUCUUUGUCGAGGGGGUGGUUUUCGAGCGCAAACAUAGGUGGGAAGCAAAUGUUGUGAACAACACACAUGGACUGUAUAGUGAGUCAUUAGCUUUGUUGCCUCAACUGAGUGUAAUACUUUCUUGAGUGGUUGAUGAUGACUGAGAUUGCGAUCGAAAACGAAGGAAGCCUGUGCUUGUUGUUCAUUCCCUUUUAAAAUGAUGCAUUGACAACUGUCUUUUGAGGGGAGUGAAAUUACUCAGACUCUAGGAUGUUGCCCAAACAGAUUGUGGGAUGGGAGUGGGAAUGAACGCAACGCCACAAUGCUCAAACCAAUUAUGUUGGAAGAUAUGAUUUAACAAAUCAUAUCAAAUUGUAAAUUGAUAUGUAAUAUUGUCUAUCUUAGGUUUAGAAAGAUAGGGGAUAAUUAUUUUCCUUUAUUAUUUCUUUCUUUGUAAUUAAAUACAAUGUAUUGUGCACAGAUUACAUUCAAUAGAGAGAAUACAACUUUUCUCCUAUUUCUUCUUUCGCAUACUUUCCUUUGAUCUUCUAACAUGGUAUCAGAGCUUCUGACGAUUCUGGCAUAGCUUUUGCUUCCAUCUUGAUUGCCUUGAGGAACUGUAACCUGCAAAACAGUUACCGAAAGGAAUCAACUCCUUUCAAUUUUUUCUUUGCUACAAUGAACAAAUCAGAAGCCCUCACCUCCAAAUCAGAUGACCAGCCAGCAAGAGAUGCAACGCCACAGACUACCCACAAUCCAGAUUCAACUGUCGUGACAACUAUGGCUGAACAACAACUCAGUCAAGGCUAGAACCAGCCUCAACACGUGCAAUGGCAAACUUUUCCGGCUCAGUUCAAUCUGGGGCAGCCCUUCUUGGGCCAUCCUUACCAGUGGAUGCCGUAUCCAUGGAUCCAUGGGACAAACCCAUAUACAUCACAGACGAGCUACCAAAGCAGCAUGUGGACCGACGGAGGCCCACCAACCAACAAUGGGGCAGGCUCUACCUUCUGCCCAGAGCAAACGGGCGGAUCAGGUGAAUCGGGGGGAACGAAUCCUUACCCAAAUUUUUUCAAAGCGAAUCGAGGAAACGGGUCAAAUACUCCGAAUGUAGGGGCGAAUACCUACCCGACUUCACCUGGUUUCUUUCCAUAUCCGAUCCUUGCUGCCGGAGGACGGUCGGAGCCCGGCGACCCUCUUUACACGACGAACGUCGACAGACCAGAACUGAAACUCAUCAGUCAUCAAUUAACUGGUCUAGACGAUUACGCGACUUGGUCAUGGGAGCUCCGGUGUGCCAUGGUAACAAAGGAUAAAGAGGGUUUUCUCGACGAAACAAUUUCGGUUCUGACCGACGAGCGAAUGGCUCAAUUUUGGAAAAAAUGUAACCAACUCGUCAGAACUUGGAUCGAGAAUUGUAUCACAGCCGAAGUGGCAGCAGAGCUUCCCCCGAUAGAAGAUACGAAAGAGAUGUGGGAUAACAUUAAGGAAAUGUAUGGAAAGCUAGAUCAAAUCAAGAUCUUUUCCAUUACACAGCAAAUUUCGGAUCUAAACANNNNNNNNNNNNNNNNNNNNNNNNNNNNNNNNNNNNNNNNNNNNNNNNNNNNNNNNNNNNNNNNNNNNNNNNNNNNNNNNNNNNNNNNNNNNNNNNNNNNAAUGAGAUGGAAUCAGCUGAAGAAAAAUUCAACUGGCCCGAACCCAUUCUACAACAGUACAAGAUCAUGCGCGAAAGAGAGAAGGCGAUUAGGUUUCUCCUAAUCUUAAAUGAGACACACCUUUCAUUUCGAUCUCAGAUCCUGACCAUGGAUCCGAUCCCAAACCUUGGCCGGAUCUAUCAGCUUGCCGUCUAAGAGGAGAGCCAACAGAAGACGGCGAUCUACGGAAAGGGGAGCGAGGUGAUGGCUCUGGCUGCAAGAGGCCAUUUUCGCUCUCCACAAAGGAACCUAGGAGUUGGAGGACGAAAGGGGGUGAAUGUGGGGUUGAGAAACCCUAGCCCUAAUUUCAUUGAGCAAAUGGACGACUCCAAUUUUGUUGAACAAUCGGACGGCUCCCAUAUUUUUUCGACAGGGCCCUUCUCAGACGGCCCACGGAGCGGCUUCGCUGGAGCAGAUGGGCCGCGUGGAAUCAAUGGGCAGCGAGCAAAUGUUUAUGGACUAGAUAGUGCACGCGGAUUUCAGCCCACUGGAUUAGAAGGGUCAUAUGGGCCUACUUCGGCCCAAGCUUUUCAGCCCGGCAACAGAUUUCAUUCAACUGCAAAAAACAAUGGUCAAAAAGGAAGAGGUAAAUUAUAUUGUGACUAUUGUAAACAUCUGCACCAUACAAUUGACAAUUGUUGGAAAUUACAUGGGAAACCUGGAGAAAAAGAAAAAGGGAAAUCUUCACAAGUUUUUCAGGUGUCGGGUUAGCCAACAGAAAGAUCGAUUAUCUAUGAGCAGUGUCAGGAAUUGAUGGGAGCUUUAAAAAGGUUGGAUGCCUCUGAUAAAGCUGGGAGUUUCACAGGUACAUCUUAUUGCUUGAUGAAUUCAAUUUCAAAGAAUGCAUGGAUUAUAGAUUCAGGUGCUAGUGAUCACAUUGUCUAUGAUAAGGGCUUCCUUUCCAAAAUCAAAAUAUUAUCUUUUCCUAUAUCGGUGCAACUUCCAAAUGGAAAUUCCACACAAGUUGCCAUGAUCGGCACUAUGAAUCUUAGUCCCCUAAUUACACUUCGAAAUGUGCUAUAUGUGCCUGACUUCCAAUUCAACCUCAUAUCAGUUAAUCGAGCUUCUAAAGAAAAGUCAUGCCAUGUCCUGUUCACUCUCGAUAAUUGUCUCUUUCAGGCCUUUUCGACUGGCAAACUGAUGGGCUUGGGUAAAGCUUAUCAAGGACUCUAUUUUUGGAUGGAUUUUCCCAGCAGUUCCAAAUUGUCCUCUAUUGAAUUCAAUAAAUCAUUGUGUAACCAUGUUAUCAAUGACAAAAAUUUUCUUUAUCAUAAAAGAUUGGGACAUAGUGCUAAAUUUCCUUGUCCUUAGUGUCCUAUAUGUCCUUUGGCAAAACAGACACGUGCUCCUUUCCCAAAUAGUAGUUCUAGAGUAGAUGGCAUUUUUUCAUUAAUCCAUGCUGAUGUUUGGGGACCCUACCAUACCGUGCAUCGCGAUGGAUCGCGAUAUUUCCUCACAAUUGUUGAUGAUUUUUCUCGUGCAACAUGGAUAUUUCUCAUGUAAUCCAAGAAUCAAGUCAUUUCCCAUCUAAGGACAUUUUUUUCCUUAUCCAAAAAUCAGUUUGGAAAAACAAUCCGUCGCAUUAGAACUGAUAAUGGAAGAGAGUUCUUCAAUGGUGAAUGUGCUUCUUUAUUUUCACUUAAUGGAAUCUUGCAUGAGAGUUCUUGCACUUAUACACCACCGUAAAAUGGUGUUGUUGAGAGGAAACAUCGUCACCUCUUAGAAGUAGCACGUGCUCUUAAGUUUCAAGCAUCUAUUCCUGAGAAUUUUUGGGGAGAUUAUGUGAUCACAGCAGCAUAUUUGAUUAAUCGCAUGCCAUCACGCAUUCUGCAAGGGAAGACACCAUUUGAGGUGUUGUAUGGAAGGAAACCCAAUCUAAAUCAUCUCAGAGUUUUUGGGUGUCUCUGUUAUGUAACUACAGUGGGACACAGGGAUAAGAUGGCACCACGUGCUAGUGAAUGUAUAUUCAUGGGGCAUCCCACCUUAAAAAAGGGAUAUCGGAUUUACACACCAUCCACAGGAGAAUUUCUCGUGAGCAGAGACGUUGUUUUCCAUGAGAAUAUUUUUCCCUUCCAAACUGUUGUUUCUUUAUCUGAAGAUGAAAAGACAGCCAAUUCAAGAUUCUUGUUGGAAGAAGAUUUACUUUCGGGAGGAACAUUUAUUGCUACUUCUCCACCAGGACCAACUGUUCAAUUGCUUACAUUGCCUGUUGAGACAUCUACAAGUCAUUCCAUUGAGGAACCUCAUAUAGAAGAACCAGCACAGUUCACAGAACUUCCAACACCAAGCCCUGUUAUAGAAGAGUCCUUCUCAUUACAACAAGAGCCUACACAGUGUUCUAAUCGAGUUGCACGGCCACCAGCUUGGACGAAGGAUUACAUAUGUGGUUCUUCCAGAUUAUCAAGUACUCGUUAUCCUCUCUCGUCUUAUAUCUCAUUCGAUAGGAUAUCACCAGAAUAUUUAUGUUGCAUGAGCCGUAUUUAUGAAGAACGAGAACCUUCUAGCUAUAAUGAGGCCAAAGACGAUCCUCGUUGGCAAAAGGCCAUGGAGGCUGAGUUACAUGCUUUGACAAAAAAUCAUACUUGGGAUGUUGUGCCAAUGCCUACUCAUCGAAAACCCAUGGGAUGUAAGUGGGUUUUCAAUAUCAAGUACAGGGCAGAUGGUUCUGUAGAGAGAUAUAAGGCGCGAUUGGUGACCAAAGGAUUCACACAGCGAGAAGGUUUUGACUACCAUGAAACUUUUUCGCCUGUUGCAAAAGAUGUCACGGUUCGAUCUUUCUUAUCAGUUGCUGCUUUUCGUGACUGGCCUUUGCAUCAAAUGGAUGUGCAUAAUGCUUUUUCACAUGGUGAUCUGGAUGAAGAAAUCUACAUGGAUCUUCCACCAGGAUUAUGAAGACAGGGGGAGUCUAAAGUAUGUCAUCUCCGUAAAUCUCUUUAUGGACUAAAGCAAGCCUCUCGACAAUGGUAUGCCAAGUUUACUAAUGCACUUAUGACCGCUGGAUUUAAGCAGUCCAAAUAUGACUAUGCUCUAUUCACAUGGACAAAAGGUAUGUCAUCUAUUUACUUGAUGAUUUAUGUUGAUGACAUACUUAUCAUGGAAAAUGAUGAUUCUGCUUUGAAGAAACUUAAAGCACAUCUACAUUCCACCUUCCAUAUCAAAGAUUUAGGGUCACCUAAAUAUUUUCUUGGAAUAGAGAUAGCUCGUUUAGAUCAGGGAAUCUCUCUCAGUCAGCGGAAAUUUAUAAUGGAAAUCAUAUCAGAAACAGGACUGUCAGGCUGUAGACCAGCCAUUAUUCCUACUGAGCAAAAUGCCAAGCUGACAUCUAUCGACUAUGAUACUGGCAUAUCUUCUCCUUCUGAUGAUCCGUUAUUAAAAGAUCCGUCGGGAUAUCAGAGACUUGUAGGGAAACUUAUAUAUCUCACUAUGACUAGGCUAGACAUCUGCUAUGCAGUGCAGACUCUUAGUAAAUUUUAUGCACAAUCCAAAGCAAUCUCACAUGAAUGCAGUCUUGAAGAUCGUGAGAUACUUAAAGACAUGUCCAGGCCUAGGGAUACUCCUCUCUCGAAAAUGCAACAUGGUCAUGACGGCUUACUGUGAUGCAGAUUAUGCCACAUGUCCUAUAAGUAGGAGAUCCAUUACCGGAUUCUGUAUCAAAUUUAGGGAAUCAUUACUUUCAUGGAAGACAAAGAAGCAGUCUACUGUAUCUCUAUCUUCAGCUGAAGUCGAGUAUCGAUCCAUGGCCAAGACUGUCUAUGAAAUAGUUUGGUUAAGGGGUUUACUUCAGGAUCUCGAGGCACGAGUUGAAGGAUUGACUACACUUUUUUGUGACAAUGAUUCAGCACUCAAACUUGCAGCAAAUCCUGUAUUGCAUGAGAGGACAAAACACAUAGAAGUUGAUUGUUACUUUACUUGAGAAAAGAUUCAAGAAGGAAUAGUCGAAACAAGAGGGAUCAUAACCUCAGAGCAACCAGCAGAUAUAUUCACUAAACCUCUUUACCAAAGAUAACAUGCAUAUCUUCUAAACAAGCUUGGAGUCUUGGACAUCUACAAGCCACCAGCUUGAGGGGAAGUAUUGGAAGAUAUGAUUUAACAAAUCAUAUCAAAUUGUAAAUUGAUAUAUGUAAUAUUGUCUAUCUUAGGUUUAGAAAGAUAGGGGAUAAUUAUUUUCCUUUAUUGUUUCUUUCUUUGUAAUUAAAUACAAUGUAUUGUGCACAUAUUACAUUCAAUAGAGAGAAUACAACUUUUCUCCUAUUUCUUCUUUCGCAUACUUUCCUUUGAUCUUCUAACAAAUUAUAAUUGGAUUAGGAUGACGAUUUGAUCAUGGACUGCAAUCUUGCAAAUUCUUUAGUCUCUAUUCUAUACAAUUUCUUGAUCAUUCCAGCAACCGACCAUAAUAUUUCGACUUAUUGAUAUCUAUAAAAGUUCUGUAUUAUAACUAGAUUAGAACAUAUCGCAGUUCAGAUCACUUGUAUACCACUCCGGGCGAUAGAAUUGCUUAGAUUAGAACAUUGCUUAAUCUGAAUUACCACUUCGGGCGAUAGAAUUGAUUGCUUUAUGACGCUCUUGCUGGACCAAUAUCGCAGCUAAGAUCACUUCAGUGUGUUAGCUCAAAAUUUCUACAUGAAUAAAUGAUCCAUUAGCAACAACUCUCACGACGAGAAAAAAAUCAUCACCGCAUCACACGGAUCCCAUAUCUACACUAUGCGAAUUCCAUGAAUAACUCGCACGAUGUGAAAAAGGGCAUCAGGGGCAUCGGGAGUCUUUCUAAAAAAAUACAGAGAAGAACUGGGACUCAAAAGGACAUUUUUGGUUGAUGUCGUUUAGGAAUCAAUUGAGCUUUGUUUGUACCAAGCGUCUAACCCUCAAAAGCUAGAGAACUAUGUUACAGUGUGUAAUCUCAACGUCUACACAUAAACAUGUGCCCCGAAAUGCAAAAUGCAUUUGCGAUAGAGCAAACCAAUAGAAACACCUCUCAUGAAGAGAGAAGAUCAGUGCUGCGUCACACCAAUCCUAUGUAUGCUUUUCGCGAAUUCCAUUGACAAUCCCGCACAAGUAGCCAUGAGAAAAUGCGAUUUUGGAGGCCGAAGAUGGCGAGAACAAAACUUUUUGAUCAAGAUAAAGUGUCAAAUAUAGGUCGUAGUAGGAAAAUUUUCUCAAGCCAAAGAUUAGAAAAGUCAUUGAUCAAGUAGCAUCUCAUGUACUCCCAAACUUGCCCUUUUGAAUUGACGAAACAAUGCAUCGUGACAAGCAAAUCUUCUGAGAAACUGUAAAAAGAGGCCAAGCCACUCGAUGCAAUUCUAUGAUUCGAACAAUGAAAAAGAAUGAGAAUUUUUUGGAAAUUUUCAAAUUCAGAUUUCAUCAAUAUGGAUUGAGAUGUUGUUUAGAAGGAACUAUGUUUUGAGGAGGGAAUAUAGUAAUAGCAUCCGUCAGCUGACCAAUAUCAAUUGGAAAACCAAAUGUUGUGUUUACAUACAAGAUGGUAUGGAAAGCUUGCAACUUGUGCUAGCCAUUAGGAACCUAAGGAAAUUAGUCCUUCGAUUCUCGGACUUAAUAGGGUUGACACAUCUCCGACUGACUAAUGUCGAGAAUGGUUAUUGUUUUGAAAGGCUUCUUCUUGCUCUUUUGGCAUGAAAUUUCUUUUUCUCAUUUAAAUACCAAAAAUGACGUAGAUAGUAGUCUCGUACCAUAUUAAGAAGAAAAUAUAUCAAUUGGCUCAAAAUUCACUAAUAUAUUCGAUUUGUGAGAUUUAAAUUUCUAAUCCUAUUUAAUUUCUGAUUUUAUAUUGAUCAAGUAAGCUUUCGUUUCUCACCUUUACUCUAAAUUUCCAACCACCCUUUAGAUCUCCGUCCACAUGCAAAGUCAAAUCAAGUGUAAAAUCCGAAUGGUUUUCGAUGGCUGCGACUCGCCGGUCACCUUGGAGGAAAAGAAAAGAAAGGAAAUCUCAUCUUCAUUACAAAGAUGGCCAGCCCAGCCCACGUAAUUCUCAGGCUCCAUGGGCCGUUUGGCGAAUUUUUGGGCUGGAAUCUCUAUCGGCUGUUGGAUCUUUUCCAAGGACCAGCACGACCCAAUCCGAUCCGGAUUCGAUUCGCUUCUUUUUCGGAUCCCCCGAUUUCCUCUCCAUUUUCAUCCAUUUUCAUUUUUAUUCCCAUGUGCUCUUUUAUUUAUUUAUAUAUUUAUUUUUUGCUCUUUUAUUUAUUUAUUAAUUUAAUUUACUCUCGCAUCAAUGCGUUUAAAGAGAAGGAGGAGAGAGGAGAGGGAGAAACAGACGAGUGGAAGUUUUCGCGAGUGAGGGGUUCACAGAGCGCUCUUUCUCUCUCUCCUCUUUCUUCCCCUUUCUCCAAGGGCUCCGAAUCGAUCGUCGUCGGAGACUCUCGCCGAUUCCUCGAGCGCGCCCUUCCGAUUUCUAGGAGCCGAUUGAGAUGGUGAGUUCGCGUCCCCGCUUUUAGAUCUGCAGCGAGUAAUUGGCUGCUCGAUUGCCGGCUCACCUGAUAGUCCUAGGUGAGGUGGGUGGCAUUGGGCAACUAAAUAAGGGGGUCCUUAGUGUGUUUUCACCUGAACUUGGUGGUUUAGUACCAUGAGUACUGAAUGUGCGUGACAUUGUUGAGUUAGCGGAUGCGCUACAUUGUAAAUGAUUUUCUUUCUGACCAAAAAAAAAUUUGAUUUUCUUUCAGGGUCGGACACCUUUUUUUUUCGCAUUAUCUAUUGAAUUUAACUUCUCACGGGUAACGAAUUAUUCAAGUUGGCGAGAUUUGGAAGAAUUGAUAAAAAGAUGUGCCUUUGGAACCCUUUUGUCGAAGCUUGGAGAUUAUUUCUGUGGAAGGAUUGAUAAAAAGAUGUCUUUUCAAAGUAUUAUUCAAGGAUUACCUUGAAGAGACUUGCAGAGCUGUUAUACCUCAGCCUUCAGGUUGAUUAUGUUGAACACUUGUUUAUAUUCUUCAUCAGUGUCAAUCUUUAUGAAUGAUUGCGUAGAGCCCUCAUUUAACACUGAGCAGCCUCUCUGCCUGUGAUCCCUGUGGGGCAUGGUUGCUGGACUUGGAUACAAGUCCCAAAAAAAGUGGAAAAGAAGUUUUGGUGCCUUGAAAGUGGCUUGUCAUGAGGUUGAGAAUGUUGUCUUUGUAGUUUCAUUUUGUAAACAUUUCUUACCAAUAUAUAUGUGUGGACUUCACUUUGUCAACUUCUGCUCAUGAAAUUUGUAGCUGUAAGUGUCAUUGUCUGGCGUUUUGAAACCAUUUCUUGUCCCAUGGAGCCUAAAAUUCCAAUGCCCUUUAGAAGGGUGGGAGGAGUUUUGCUAUCACUCACCAUUUCCUGUGUUACCAAAGUAUAUCUUGUGAUUAGAGCUUUCUUAUUGUGUUCUGAAAAUCUAUGUAGCUGAAUCACUCAAGGAAAAGAGCUCUGUUUUUGGGUUCUGUUACAACUGUUGUAGAGAGCUUUGAUUGUUCUAUGUUACCAUUUUAGGAAUCUUAAAAUCAUCUCUCCAAAAUGGUUGUUUCCAAGUCCCUAGUGGCACAGAUAGACCGGCCGAUGGGAGUUGUCUAUUUCCAGAUGACAAAGGACAGCAAUAUCAUCUUGAAUUUGUGGGCGACAAAUUUAGAAAAGCUCCUCAAUCUUGUUGAAAAAAGUUGCCACCAAAUCUACAAGGAAACGUUGGUUCAUAAGGCUGCUUUGAGAGCUUGAUAAUGUUCUUAGUUGAAUGAAUGAUCUCUCUCCCCUUGAGCGUCCCUCGAUCUCUCACCAAAAGAGAAGCGGAAUAAUGAUGUUUCACAUUGUGGACUGAAGUGGGACUGAAGAUGUUUAUCAUAUCUCUCGUGCAGCUGGCUUUAAUUUGAUUGCUUAUUUUGCAGGGGGGCCAGAGCUGGGCCUUGUCUGGACUGAAAUGAUACAAUGAGUACACUUUCUGCAUAGGAAUUAGGAAUUUAUGUUGGUCUUUUCUUCUUUCCUCUUCAUCCCUCCUUUUCAUUGAAGAUUUUUGAGCUCUCAGGGUCCAGAACUUGUGCCAUUGGAAUUAGUAUCAGCACAAGAUGUGCACUCAAUGCAACAGAAUGAGCAUGUUAAAAUCUGUUUGGCAUUACAAAUUUUGCUGGUGCUUAUAUUUUUUUUAACGUUGGGGAUAACACUAGCUCUCCAUAGAAAAGGCGAAUGGAUGUUAUUUUUUUAUAUCAUUUCACAUUUGAAUUUCAUCUUCAGCAGAGAGAGCGUGUUUCUUUUGGACCCAACCUUGGCCAUUGGCGGUUCUAAAAACCUGUUUCUGGGGAGCUUCAUUCAAUUAGGUAACUGCAUUUUUUAUCUCCUCAAGAGAGACAUAGUUUCUCUCCAAGUUGAUGUUUUGAUGUCAUUUCCAUAAGACACUCCGUUUUGAUGUCAUUUCUAUAUAUAGUUUCUGUCACUGAAAUGUGUUUGAUUCCGACUGGUUUUGACAUCUCUUUGAACUCUUGGCACGUGUGUGUAAUACAAUGAGAAGCUUUGAAAUAUUGAGGAUAAUGUGUUUCUUCGACGAUCAUAAAAUUUCAGAUUUGAGGGGAGUUUUCUUUACAUAGUCUCUUCCCAUUUUCAAUUUACUAUAGGUGCUUCUAAGUGGCAACAUGGGAUUAUUUCUUUGUCUAAUUUGUUUUUGCUUUUAUCUUUUGACACCAUCGCAUAUUUCCUAUUAAUCUCGGCAUUUGAUUGAUUUCAUUGGUCAAUUAUUGUCUAAAAUCCCUUUUCUUUACCGAAGAAGAUGUAAAGGUUUUGAAUAUUGUGUCAUAGAGUGAAAUGGGAAAAAAGUGACUCCUAUGGGGACCACUGGGUAGUUCUUUAACUUUAUUCGUUUCAUGGAACAUGUUUGGAUGGAACUAGAAAAAAUAUGAUCCACUCCUUAAGUUUUCUAUUACACUUGUAUUUAUGCAGAUCUCCGAGUCCAGUAAAAUAUCAGAGGAAUGGCACACUCUCAUGGAAGGAUGAGAAGCAACCUGAGUGAAAAACCCUUCGUCUCUACCCUCUGAAAGCUUAUUACUUCAUUAAUAUCAUUAUGUAGAGCUUUCGAUACUUCAUCUCUUUUCAUUUUUUGCAAGUGUACAAAAAAGCUCGUGUCAAGUACGACAGUCCAAAGUUUACAUCAACGCAAAUAAUAUAGAAGAAAUAGAGCGAUUAUUUAUAAGUUGCUCACGAACGUUGUGUUGAAUGCAUUUUCCAAUUUUGCGCUUGAUUGAUAGAAGAAUAGUUCCUAGUAGUAAAUCUCUAAUCAAGUUGAAUCCGAGAAAUUCCAUUCAUGUGGUUUCAACUAAUAUUGUAGAUCAAUUUAUAGGUCUCAAAAUCGUAAGUUGGAGUUAAAGUGGACCGUAAAAUGUAUCGUAGGAAUUUGGAAAGUACUCAGCAAGAUGGGCACUCAUUCGUACUGAAAUAAGCGCCUCAUCACUAAAUUCUGUUUUACAUUAUGAAUUUUGAUGGCGCUUGUGAGGCUAAUGAAUGCUAUUUGUCAUUUCCCUUCAAGGGAGAACGUUUCUCUUGAAGUCGAUACUUCAAUAGGGAAGUGGCCUUUGUUCUCUGGAGUUCUAUCUCCUCCAUUCUUCGUCACGGAAGCUGAAAAAUACGGGGAAGAGGAAAUGAUUGGGGCAAUCCUUGGUCUAUUUCCGCAAUAGGCAGUCUACAUACGUGGGGAGUUUUGUUUGUUCAUAGAGAAGAAACUGUGGGCACAUCUUUAGCUUUAGCUAUAGAAGUAAUAAUGCACAAUAAAUAACGAGUACCUUCCCAACAAAAUGGAUUUAUUUAUCUUUUUAUUGAAGAAUGCCACCGUGAGAUUUGCUUAGCAAUCAGCAUAAGUCGGACGAAGAAUAUUAGUGAGUUUCCAUACUUUUUCCCGUUGUUCAUGUAAUCAAUGAUUUGAAAAUUACAUCAAAUAUCAUAAGAUACACUUAAAGUCAUUCGUGCAGUCAAUAAAUAUUUUGGUCAUAAUUGGAAGAUCUCUUUUUGUCAUGUACUUAGAAAACUAAUUAAAAUAGCUUCUAUAAAGCAUAGAAAACAUUUUGUUUGGCAAAAGGAGAUAUUCAAAAUUUUCAAAACAUUUUGUUUGACCAAAUUUAGCAUAAGAAAAGGUUUAUUAUAUUCAUUACGAUAAGGACCAAUUAAUGAUAAAAUCAAAAUUUUCAUUGAUCAAAAAAAGCAAUUGUCGAAACCGAUCAAUUCUAGUAAAAAAAUCUAUUAAACUCUUUUCAAAAUGAACUAGCAGAUCAUAUACUUGACAAAGAAGACCUCGUCGAUUAUAGUUGACAAUUUUUGGCAAAUUGGAGUUGUACCAUUUUUGAAAACGCUGAUUGGUUUUCCUCUUUUUGCUGUUUUCUUAACAAAACCUUGAAUCCCAUCUUCUUCGUUUUUUUGUACAAUUCUUUCGUUUUCAUUUUUUUUUCUUUUUUUAUCUGCCAUCCUAAGUGUAAUCAUUUAAAUCGUGGACAUUUCGACAACGGCAACGUGGUGAGAAGAAGAGAUAAAUUUUGAAAAAAAUAAUAAUAAUAAUUGAAAAGUUAUCAUUCUUGUUUCUCAGCUUUAAGCCAAUCGUUCCUCUUUUCUAUGCUCGUGAAGGAGGACUCUUGUUCUUUGCCCAGUCGUUGCAGCUUUCCGUUAAAGCUCGAGGUUUUUGCGCCAUUUCAAAGACUGGAGUGUUGUCAUCAACUCAUACCCCCAUCACCAUCUUCUGCAGCUCGAGGUUUCUGAAUGUGGAGUGAUUUCCUUGUUCGUGGAUUAAAAAACGUUGUGGCUGAGACGGUAAGUGCCGGCUAGAGGAAAAGCACUCGUCCCUACAGAUCUGAGCAUCGCAAUGCCAAAGGAAACAUAAUGCUCGGAUAUGUAAUGUGCGACUUCUUUACCUCGAAACAUUCUCUCAGUACCUUGUUUUGGAUAAUCGACGAGGGUUGAGUCGAAUCGCUUGUACAUUUGUUAUUCCAGCGCCUAGAUCGGGUUCGGCAUGGAAGUAUUCGAUCAGCAUCGGGUGUGGGUGGACCUCAGAGGAUAUCGACUUUGAAGUGAAGAUGGGUGAAAGGAUCGCACAGCUGAUCAUUGAGAAGGUCGUGAUUCCCGAUGUUGCUUCGGAGGUCGAGGACCUGGACUUGACUCUGAGAGGUGAGGGCGGGUUUGGGUCGACCAGGUGUAAGGCCCAUGUGCUGGGUUUCGGUUGCAACUUUGUUCUCUGUAAGUUUGUUUUCACUGGGGAUGAGGUUGUGCCUGGGAUGCACGCAGGUGUGGUAGGAGCAUUUUCUUGGUGAGAAAUUUUGUCGAACAAUUGGUGGAUAAAUAUUUGCUAAUGGCUAUGUGUUCAGCCGCGCUUUUGAAGUAACUCCUUGUGCUUAGCCUGUCUCUGUUUAAUUGUGAAAUAUGGAUCCCGCUUUUCAAGUUGGCAGUUUGUUGGGGUGAGCCUUGCAGCAAGUAAUUAGCUAGUUGAUUGCUGGCUUACGUAUUAGUCCUAGAUAAUGGUAUUGGGCAACUAAAUAAGGGGAUUCUCAGUGUUUUUACAUGAACUUCUUGGUUUAGUACCAUAAUUAUUGAAUUUGUGUGACAGAGUUGAUUUGGCGGAUGCACUAUCUCGCAGAUGAUUUUUUUAAGGGUCUGACACCAUGACCUAUUGACUGUUAACUUUCUGCAGGUAAUAAAUUAUCCAAGUUGGCGAGAUUUGGAAGAAUUGCUUAGAAGACGUGCUUUGGAACUCUUUAUUGAAUGAAGGUUGGGGUUUAUAUUCCUGUGGAAGUUUAAUGGUGCUCAUGUGUAAACAAAGAAUUGGUAAUAAGCAAAAUGUUAACCUUGAGAUAUACUUUCUGGCAGGGUGCUUGUAUUUGCUUAUGAAGUGAAAUUAAUUGAUAACAGUGAGUAUUCAGCACCCAAGUAGUACAAAGUGAGUUUCCAGCAGUUAGCGUCGUCACUUUCUCAAAAAGAAAUAAAAGGAGGUGAUAGCAAACUCAACAGGUAGAAGUUGUUGAAAGAUUACUUGGUAACUUAAAGGAAGCAUUUAACUAAAAUUAGUUAUCAAUAAGUAUCUCCCCCAAUCUAUGAAGUCAAUGUCAGAUCGUGUGAUGUUGCAUCCUAUCAGGAACACUAAUUGGAAGUUCUCAUUAACAAAGAACGAAAAUAACUUUUUCAGCUGAGUAGGAAAAUAAUGCACAAAGCUAUGUGGAUAAGCUGGACAUUGUGGUACUAUCUAGUAGGGAGGUACUAGCAAAAUACUUUGAUGUACUUUUACAAGAUGGCCCUCCCUUUGGAAGUAAACGUGUGAGUGAGGAUUGAAAAAUAGAGAUCCUUAGUCUGCGAUGACAGAGAAAAGGCAUAUUGUUUAAGUUAAGUAGAUUUAUUCUGUUUUAUCAUCUUUUCAGGGUUUAGUGAAGUCAGCAAUCGGUGAUCCACUUUGUUUUUAUUCUGGUCAGUAGAUUUGUUUUAGGAUUUGAGUUCUCUUGUGUAGGGAUAUAUUGUUUUUGCUUUAGAUGGAAAGGUUUUUCCUUGGUGCCUUACUUAUUAUACCUUUUACACGACAAAGAAAUCAGGGAGAAAAGAAAUUGAGAUUGGGUGCCAAACGAGUGAUUCAAAAUACUAAUCAACUAAAGAUGAACAGUAAGUACGAGUUGUACCUCUCGAUUGCAAUAAGGGUUUGCUGUGGAGUUUCUCCCUUGCAUGAACAUAGCAUGUGUUAGGUUUGAUAGUGGCGAAAGGAAUAUUAAACAAGCAGGAGCCAAGAUUAUUGCGUUCAGUCAUCUACCUAAUUCUUGGGGCAUGAAUUUUUGUCUACCCAGCUCGAAGCACUCUUUGCCUUCCUCGUCAAGUGAUUGAGUCAAAAUUAUUUGAUGACGCUGAUACUUGGAUAUUCAUACUUGUUAAGUCAUUUUUCCUGUUAUAUAGUUGCUUCCAAACUUUAUUGUACCAAAUGAGUAUCUUACAUUCCUUUGUUAUGAGUGAAUUGGAUCAUCAAGAUUAACCAAUGUCCAGGUAUUUGCCUUUUCAUCUCUGCUUUUGGGUGAUAAGCUAGUGGAAUUUUCACUCUUCAUUGAUUGUAUUUCAUUGAUAUGCUAUGCUGAAUGCUGAUAAGUUCCUCUAGAUUAGUUUAGAGCAUUAUGACAGGUGGCUAUUUAUUAUUCCUAACCAGAUUUUUGCCUUCACAAUUGUUAUUAGGAUUGCUACCUAUCUAGGAGGCAAUUAGAAAGAUGCAAGUUGAUCACAUCGACAAUCAUUCCCAGUUUAGAUUAGGAGUAACAUCAUUGGAGAUGUAGAAUGGGAUUCCUAAUCCCAGUCCCAAAUAUCCUACUUUGCCUAUUUAAUUGGGACUCAACCUCAUAGUAAAUCAAAUUAGGGGCCACUUCUCAUCAUGCAUGACCAACGGUAUGUCUGAAACAAUACAUAAACGCCGAACCUGCUAAUUGGGGCUGACUUUGGGGUUUGAACUAUAAGGGGAUUAUAAAUGAAAUUGAGGUGCUGGUCUUGUCCUGAAUUAAAUUUACUUGGUGGUUGUAGCAAGGCUGAAGAUACUUAUUAUACAGACUUGAGAGAGUUCAUAUGCUUUCACAUGGAUUAAGAAUAACCUUUAAUUGCUGGAGUUGGAAGUGAGCUAUUGCUGGAGUUGGAAGUGAGCUCUACUUCUAUGAGAGCUUGGGUUGGGGUAUAUGGGAGGUCUGCUGUGCCUCCACAACCAACAGUGCAGCACAAUGCCGUCACCUUUGUACAACAACCAUCUCUUCUUGCUAAGAACGGAAUUCUUUUUUACUUCAUAGCAUAGAGCUCUUUACCUUGUCUAUUUCUUUCACCCUUCUCUCUUCUUCUUUUCAAUGUCAUCAUCUGGUUUUGCUUUCAUGUUGUUUUCUUCUUUACUUUCGCCAUCGUCAACAGUGCAGAGUCUUAUGAUUAUUGAUCCGAAGUGUGGUCCAGUUUCAAUCAUUUGGGAUUGAUCUUAAUAACAAUUACCUUAGGGGUUUUAUUUAUAAGGACUUAUAUUGCAGCAUUGCCUCCCAUUUGUGCACUGAUUAGACCUUAUACUAUCAUUUUGUGCAGUCGUAACAUGCCAUCAUACAUGACUAUUUGAAAAAUGAAUCUCAUUGGCAUAUCAAUANNNNNNNNNNNNNNNNNNNNNNNNNNNNNNNNNNNNNNNNNNNNNNNNNNNNNNNNNNNNNNNNNNNNNNNNNNNNNNNNNNNNNNNNNNNNNNNNNNNNCGCUCAUGCUAUUUGCAAGUUUUUUCAUUUGGCUGGGAUCCUCGUCAUUGUAUUUCUAUUGCACCUUGCUAUUACCCCUUUUAGUUGCUUUUUUCUCUCUAUUUUUUUUUUCUAGAAUGAAUAAUUUUUCUUGCUGUUAAUCAGAUAGUUUAACUGAAAGUUUUAAUUUUGCGCGGGACAUAAUCAAGUAAUGAAUUAAUUGGAUGGUGACAUACGCAUUGCUAUCUACUUAUAAACAGGCUAUUGCAGCAAUGGAGAAGCAGGCUAUGCGAUAUAUUGACCAGACACCUGAUCUUGAGAUCAAGAUUGAGCUUAUUAAGACACUUAACUCUGUUUCUGCUGAGAAGGUGAAAAUGGGAAAUCAAACUCUAUUGUGGGCUACGUUCGUGAGCAAUCUGUUUUGGUUUCAUGGUUUCUAUAGCUAGUGUCAUUAUGCAGCUAUUUGUGGAAAUUGAGAGAGCACGGUUGCUAAAGAAACUUGCAAACAGUAAAGGAAGAACAGGGUCUUGUAGCAUAUGCUGCUGAUUUGAUACAAGAAAUUGCAGAAACUAGAAGUCGACUUCUGUGGUCACUCAUUUGGUAAUUGGUUUUUCCUUGUCCAACAUCAUGAGUGGUUUGAAUUGCAGUGGAAAAUUUUGGAGCAGUGGAAAAUAUGGAGAAAAUUGCCUUUAUCCUUGAACGAUAUGGGAUGUUUAUCUUGCUUUUAGCCAUUUAUGCUCUAUUACUAUGAUUGGUUUUCGUUGAUGGAUUUUGCAGGUUUUUUGUGCUUAGAUCGCCAAGACUAUGUCUGAGCAUAGAUCCAGACAAUUAGCCCCCAGUGUUUGAUGCAGAUCCUUCCAAAGAGUAGAAAAAGCCCAAAGCAGGGGAAAUUAUUGUGGAAAAAGCGCCAGCUGAUAUUCCGUCACUUCUGGAGUUGAAAUGGAUAUAAUAUGAACAUAAUAUGAACCCAUGAUAUGGUGAAUUGGUGCUUUACUUAUUCUAAUGUUGUGUCUAUAAUUUUUUAACUAAAGUUUUUUCACCAAUCAAGCGCUACCCAGUAUUCAGGUUGUGGUUCAAGCCAUGGCUUUAUUCAUCUAUCGCAUUCUCUUUUUCCUUUAUAUCUUUAUUGCAAACUCUAAUGUUAGAGAUGUACUUAAUGGAUUUGAACACACAUCUUGCCUCGCAUUCAUGUGGUAAGCAUGUAGUAUUACCCACAUUACAAUGGUUACCUUGAAAAUUUGCCAUUGCUAUAUGGCGAUAUAUGAGAUUCCAUCAGUAAAGGGGAAACCUGGAGCAGUGGAUACCAGCGAAGCUCUUCCAUAUGAGGCUUUGUCAAGUCUUCACUGAUUUUUUUAAGGCACGGGUUUUCAUUCCAUGAUUUAAUUAGUUGCAGGUUCUAAGGAAAAUCUACUGGUACUUAAUUCGGUUACCACAUGAUCAUAUGCAGUCAAGCCCUCUUAAUGCCACUUCAGAAGAUAAAGAUCUCUCAGAAAUUCUCCAAUUCAGGUACAUCUUUGAAUUGUUUCUAGGUAUUUGGUUGUACUUUUUCUUGCAAUAUCUCGAUAUUCUACCAAAGAAUUUGGUUGGCUGUGCCUUUGUUAUUUUAACACAAGUUGCAGCCGAAACAAUUGUUCACAAUGGAGGUUAUCCAAUUUACCGCUCUUUGGAGUACUUUUAGAGAUGAAAUUGAGAAUGAGAAAAAACAUGCUUGAAGGCACACUUGUUGAGAAGGCAGCAGAAGAUCUUAGACAGAGAAUGAGCUGACAUGUAACUAUAGAACUUCGUCGUUUUUUCUUGUUUUCUUUGGAUCAUCAUUGAGAUGUGACUCUAUUAUCUGUAGAAUAUCAAUGUCGUUUUGAAGUAUUACUCAAGGAUUGCCUUGAAGAAACUUGCAUAGCUGUUAUGCCUUAGCAUCUAGGUUGAUUAUGUUGAACAUUUUUUUUAUAUUCUUUAUCAAUAUCAAUCUUUAUGACUGAUUACCUAGACCCCUCAUUUAACCCUUAGCAGCCUCUCUACCCCAGAUACCUUCACGGUAUGGUUGCUGGACUUGGAUGCAAGUUCCAAAAAAAUGGAAAAGAGGUUUUGGUGCCUUGAAAGCCAAGGCUUCUCUUGAGGUUGAGAAUGUUGUCCUUGUAGUUAUUCCAUGAACAUUUUAGACUGAUAUAUAUGUGCACACUAUGCUUAGUCAACUUCUUCUCAUAAAAUUUGUUGUAGCUAUAAGUGUCAAUAUCUAGCAUUGUGAAACCAUUUCUUGUCCAGGGAGCCUGAAAUUCUAAUGAUUCACCAUUUCCAGUGUUACGAAAGUAUAUCUCAAGAUUAGAGCUUUCUUAAUGUGCUCAUAAAAUCUACAUAGCUUAAUCACUCGAUUAAAGGGACUCUAUUUUUGAGGUUCUAUUACUGCUGUUGUAGAGAGCUUUAAUCAUUAACAUGUCUCAAUCUAUUAAAUCAACACAUCACCUACUAGAGAGACUGCGUAAUAGUAAUUAUAUAAGCCUGUAUGAUACUCCAUCAGCAUGACCUGUUAGUUCUAUGACCAUUUUAGAAAGCUAAGAAGCAUCUCUCCAAAAUGUUAUUUUCCAAGUCUCUGGUGGGAAAGACAGACCUGGUGAUUUGGAGUUGUUUGUUUCCGGACGACUAACGAAAGCAAUGUAUCUUGAAUUGAGGCUACAGAUUUGGAAAAGCUCCUUGAUCUUGUUGAGGAAAGCUGCCACCAUAUUCGCAAGCAAACUAUGGCUCAUAAGGUUGCUUUAAGAGUUUAAAGAUGUUCUUAGUUGAAUGUAUGAUCUCUCUCCCUUGAGCCUCCCUCUCUCUUACCAAAAGAGAGAAGCUGAAGAAUGCCGUUUCUCGUUGUCCUCUGAAGUCUGAAGUGGGGACUAAAGAUAUCAUAAACUCACAAGUCUGAAGUGGGGACUAAAGAUAUCAUAAACUCACAAGUCUGAAGUGGGGACUAAAGAUUUCAUAAACUCACGUGUAGCUGUCUUAAAUUUAAUUGCAUAUUUUGCAGGUGGACCAGAUCUGGGCCUUGUCUUGGGCUGAAAUGAAACACUGAAUACACUUUCUGCAUUGGAAUGUAUUUCAAUUGUUUCAUCUUUCCUCUUCCUCAUUCCUUUUAAGUGAAGAUUUUGGGCUCUUAAGGUUCAAAACUUGUAACAAUGGAGUUGGUAUUGGCACAAGAUGUGCGCUCAUUCUAUCAAAAAUGAGGUGUUGUUACAAAGUUCUGUUUUGCAUUACAAAUUUUACAGGUGCUUGUGUCUUACUAACAUCCUUAGUAAUAUCGGGGAUAACAUUAGCUCGUCAGAAUCACCUCGCAUUCAAGAUGGAUUUAAUGUAAGGCGGUAACUAAAUUAGUUGUUGAUUGUAAGAUCGUCGUAAUCGUCUAACUUAUUCAUGUAAGGACAAACAAAACCUAUCGUAUUUAUUAUCAAUCGAUUGUCAGUUGCCUCAAUAAUGUAAUAUACAUAUACUAGAUUCUAUGGUCAUUAUUGAUAUGUCAAAUGUCUGAGUAUCUUGUAGCUCCAUUCAAAUUGGGAUACAGAGGCUCACCCAAUUCUAGUCUUCCGUGAAAUGUGUGCAUCUAAUUUUUUCAAUUGACCUUACUCUGAGCAUCAGCAUUGCCCGUUGGUUUUCUUUUUGAGUUUUUCAUAUACUUAGAAAAGUAAGUCAAGUCAAGAUAUGAUUAGAUGAUGAAGAAAUUACGCCUGCAAUUAUUGCCCUUUACAAGGUGUAUUUUCUAAUUGUUUUUAUGAAUAGAAAAAGCAACUCAAAUCGAAGUCAAGUCGUGCUCACUUUCAAACGAAAAGGCCUGCGUAGGCGCUACGCUUUUUGCUGCGCAAUGCCGUGGAAGUUACGCAUGUAAUAGUCGCCCUUUUCGUGCAGCAUGCAUCGCCACGGUUCGAUUAGUUCAACAGUCUAUUAACGUUAAAUUUUAAUGUUCUUACUUGUGUGGUUAAUCACUCUCAUACUAAGCCGUUGAGCUUUUUUUCCUAUAUUAUCUUAUCAUUUCAGGGUUUGAUUAAUACCGUGCAAAGGAAAAAUGCGCUUUGGUGGAGAAGCUGUUGGCUGAAAAUGCCAACGUGAAAUAUAAAGCUAAACAACAAAUGAAAUAAAAAGUUAACGGAUAUUCACAAAAUAAUUAUUCAACGGUGUAGAGAACCUGUUGGUCAUGAAUUUCUAAAUGUGAUACCGAACAUAUAAACUUGCAAUUGCCAUCACUCAGGAGGAGCCAACUGAGUCCAUGAGAAGGAAAAAAUAUGUCAACCGAAUUAUCUCAUGUAAGUAAUGAGAUUGAUUUAACAUAAUCCCACAGCUCAAUAAGUUGUUGAUUAUACAAACAAAAUCGUCGUAAUUUUCUAACUUGCCCAAAUAAAAACGAACAAAACCUCCCAUGUUUAUUAUCUAUCGAUUAUUAGUUACCUCGAUAAUUUUCGUAUAUUAUAAAUCCUUCAAUCAUUAUUGAUAUAUUAAAUGUUUGGAUAUGCUUAUAGCUACAUUCAAAUCCAGUCUUUCGUAGAAUGUGUGCACUAAUUUUCGGCCAACCUUACUCCGAGCAUCAGCAUUGCCCGUUGGUUUUCUUUUCAAUAUUUUCAUUUAUCUAGAAAAGCAAGUCAAGUCAAGAAGCACAUGGAUAGGUAGGUUCAACGCACCUUCCCUGUAAUGCAGGGCAAAUUACGUUUGCAAUGAUUGUCCUUUGCUUUUUAUUUUCUAAUUAUUUUAUUAAGAGAAAGAGCAAGUCAAGUCGAAGUCGCGCUUGCUUUCGAAAAAAGGCACCUGCGUAGGCUCUGUGCCCCUUCCGCACAAUGCGGUGGAAAUUAUGCGUGCAAUAAUCGCCCUUUUCGUGGAACACACAUUGCAAUCGCAAUGGUACGAUUAGUUGAAGAUUCUUAGACCGUUGGGUGGCAAGAACUUAGCAUUGUCCAAGCACACGCCGUAGAAUGUCGUGAUGUCAUUUCUCUCUAAACUUUGUCAUCUUUUUUUUUUCUUUGCAUCAAUGUUGAUUUUAUUCAUCUUAUGAAAAUACUUAGGUGCACAUCUCUGUUUUAUAUCAUAUCAACACUCGAUUACGGUAAUACAUCGUAAAGUCAUAAAAAAAAUUAUUUUACAUUAUAUUCUUGUCCUUAAUUAUUAUGAUGUGUCAUAAGUAAUGUUAUAGUAAAGAUGUACCAUUUAUUCCUAUAUCUUUCAUACUUUGCAACAAUCUAAUGGCUUGGAACACAACAAUUUUAUUAUGCUCAAUUUGACGGUUAACACCGAGAAAGUUUUGAUUGAACAACUAACAAAAUAAAUCAGAAAUGGAUGAUAAGGGAUAUGGCAUGAUCGACGUGUGCCUUCCCCAUAGGUUUUAGAGGCCCUAGAAUCGGUAUUUCUCUUUCUUUUUUCUAAAUUUGUGUUCACGUGCAUCACGACUCCGAUGGCAUGAAAAGAAAAGCAAUCAACAGCAUGACUUUCAGUGCACAAUAGUUCCUUAUUUUUUGGUAAAAAAAAAAUCUUAUUAAUCUCAACCGUUAAAAAAGUAAAGUUGACAUGAGAUCCACAUAAUUGGAUCUUGCAAAUGAGUACUCAAGAGCACUGUUUACUUAUAUACAAUACAAGAAUCUUUUUUAUUUUUGGUAUACUAAUUAGACAUAUUUAGUAUUAUCAUGCACGCUCAUGCCUUUAGACUACAAGAAAAAUCAACGUCAUUCAUGGCUAAUUAUUUCCAAGUUGUCUUUGCUGUUACAGUUCCAGCACCACAAAAUUGCCUUAUGAUUUCUUCCUUGGGAAGGGUCCUUUCGUACACAGAGAAAAGAGCACUUUUUGUCCAAUAACACGGAAUUGCUAUAUACGGAAUUAGUCUCGCGGAUUCCGAAAGGAAAUUUUUUUUUCAUCUCUUUUUAUUUGGAAGUGUUCUCGAAAAUGAGACAAAAUAAUUUAUAUCCCUUUUGAGAAACAAUUAUCAGAUGGUGUGGAGAUCCCGUUGACUAAAAAUUUCUGAACGUGACACCAAUAUAUAAACCCACGAUUCCACCCACUUGGGAGGAGCUCACUAUAAUGACCUGUGAGUCCAUGAAAAGGAAAAAGAAAGUCGAUGGGAUCACCCCGUGUAUGUAAUGAGAUGGAAUUAACAUAAUGCUAUACAAGCAAAGUCUUCGUAAUCGUCUAACUAGCAAAACAUCUCACAUUUACUAACAAUCCAUUAUCAGUUACCUGGAUAAUGCAAUAUUCACAUACAAUAGAUUACGCGAUCAUUGUUGAUAUAUUAAAUGUCCGAAUAUGCUUGUAACUCCAUCCGAAUUGGGAUAAAAAGUCUUACCCAAUUCCAAUCUUCCAUAAAACGUGUGCAUAUAAUUUUGGAUAAAAGUUAUCAAAAACCCAAAACUUUACUUACCGUAAUAUAUUUACCAAAAACUUCUUUUAUGACAUAAAAAACUCAAAACUUGUAUCGAUGUAACACAUUUACCUCAAACUUAUACAGUGUGACACAUUUACUCCCAAAAAUUUAUAUAUGUAUAACAUAUUUAUCCCAAAAAUUUAGUGUCCUAAAAAAAACUAGGAUUUUUGGUAUUAUAAAAAAAAUUAAGGAUAAAUAUAUCACACAGAUAAAAGUUUCUGAUUUUUUGUAUCACAAAAAAAAAAUUGGGAUAAAAACGUUACAGUAAGCAAAAAUUUAGGAUUUUUUAUGUCAUUAAAAUAUUAUAUGAUAAAUGUGUCACUCUAAGCAAAAUUUGAGAUUUCUUGUAGUUAUUUUACAAUAAUCUUCAGCUCGCUGGUUUUCUUUUUAACUUUCCAUUUAUUUGGAGGAGCAAGUCGAGUCAAGGAGCACAUGCAUAGGUUGAAUGCACCUUCUGCAUAUUGCUGCGGCAAUUACCCCACAAUAAUUGCCCUUCGCUUUUAUUUUCUAAUUAUUUUAUUGAUAGAAAAAGCAAGUUAAGUCGAAGUCAAGUCGCGCUCGCUUUCUAACAAAACGCCUGCGUAGGCUCUACGCACCUUCCGCGUGGCAGUGGCUCAAUUAGUUGAAGAUUUUUGGACUGUGGGAUGGCAAGAACUUAGCAUCGUUCAAGCACGCACAGCAUUGUUGCGAUGUCAUUUUUUUCUAAACUUUUUAUCACUAGAAUGUGUUUGAUGUCGACUAGUGUGGACAUCAAUGUCUUUUGGCAUGUAUGUGGAUAAUAUGGUGAGAAGCUUGAAAUAUUGAUGAUGAUGUAUAUCUUCGACAACUCUUAUCAAAUUUCAUAUUUACUGGAAAUUCUCUUUACAUAGUCUCUUCCCAUUUUCAAAUUACUAUUGGUGCUUCCAAGUAGCAAUUUCAGAUUAUUUCUUUGUCUAAUUGUUUUCGCUUUUAUCUUUUGGCUAGCGAAGUAUAGAAACCAUCACAUAUUUCUUAUUAAUCUCAAUAUUUGAUUGAUUUCAUCAAACAUAUGCUGUUUGAAAUCCUUUUUCCUUAUGGAGGAAGAUAUGGAGGGUUUGAAUAUCAUGUCGCAUAAUGAAAUGGAAAAGAAUGACUCCUACGAAAACCAUAAAAUAAUUCUUGAACUUUAAUUCGUUUCAUGGAACCUAUUUGAAUGGAACCAUAAAAAUAUUAUUCACUUCUUAAGCUUUCGAUUAUGCUUUUAUGUAGAUCUCCAAGUCUAGUAAGUAUCAGAUGUAUGGCAAACCCUCAUGGAAGUAUGAGAAACAACUUAAUGGAAAGUCAUCAUCUCUUCUCCACUCGAAAGCUGAUUACAUCAUUGAUGUCGGUGUGCAGAGCUUUGGAUACUUCAUUUCUUUUCAAGUUUUGGAAACUAAGUAUACAAAAAGGCUCAUGUUGAAUAUGACAGUCCAAAAUUUACAUCAACCCAAAUAAUAUAAAAGAGAAUAUGAUAAUAUGAAUUAAUUGAUUAGGAAAAUUAUGUUUAAUCUGUUCUCCAAUUUUACACUUGAGUUGAUGGAAGAGUCAUAUCGAGAAAUAUAUUUCUAAUUAAGUCGAAUUUGAGAAAGCCCAUUCAUCAUCCGACUUACUAGCAAUAAGUGACUCUAUAUUUUGUUAUUAGGAUUGGUAGAUCAUCGCCAAGCCAGAGAAGAGAACACGUGGGUUCAACGACAUUGUAGAUUGAUUUGCAUGUCUCAUAGUCAUUAGUUGGAGUUAAAGUGGUCUAUAAAAUGCAUGUGUUGGAAUUCGAAAAGUACACUUGUAAGAUUGAACUUGGUGGAGACAAUGUCAAAGGCAUUCAUGAAAAAAAUUUGGGUUGAACAGACCAAAUUAAUUUAGAUAUGUGUAGUAUAAGUUUCAUCGUAUUGAUACAUUUCGGAAAUUGGUUAUUUGGAUCUUGAGGAGAAAUUUCAAUGGCAUCCACUUACUGCUCGACACCUAUAGAUGGACAUAAGCGAUCGCCAACACAUUUUCAAGGGUUUCCUUUUCCACAUUUUUUCAAAUUUCUGCACCUUUUUUUAAAAAAAAAAUCGGCCAAUGAACGAAAAAUAGGGGGGACAUUAGGAAUUCAAAGAUGUCAGCGUCGGUAUUUGGUGUCAAAUAUUUAUCUUAUUCAAUACUGCUUGAGUUUAGACAGUACACUAGUAGAUAAGUACUACACGACUCAUAUUGACAUGACACGAGUUAAAAGCCGUGAAGAUAUAAGCGAAACAUUAGCAAAGCUGACAAUAUUUUAUCUAGCAAGGCUCGGGUGGAGUUGCCUAGCACAACAAUGGAAGAACCAGGAUUGGGAUGUUGAGCAUCUAAUCGAUGUUGGCACUUGAUAUAACUCUUGUUUAUUGUUGAUACUACUAAUUAUCCAUCCAAUCAUAAUCCUAAAUAUGGACUAUGCAUUUCAGGCAUUCUGUACAUCUCCAAUUAAAGGAAUCUAUUUGGACCUUGUCAUAGGACAUGUGACUGUGAUUGUACAGUAUAACUUUGUGCAGCAAGGGUUUUCUGGUGUGUUGAAACUUCAAAUCACAUGAUCAUGUGAUACAAUGUUCCAUCAUAAUCUAUUAAUGUAUUAGCUUUUGAUCCUAGAAUAAUGAGGUGUGGUUAGUCAAUUGCGUACUAAGCCGUUGAGCCUUUCUGUUUCAUCUUAUCAAGGCAAGAGGAGAAUUUUUGUAGCUUUGAGUAAUGAAGUGAGUAUCUGCUCUUACCUUGGUAGGUUUUAUAAGCUAAGCUGGUUUUCAAAGUAGCAAAAAGAGCAAAAUAUAUACCUAUAAUAUACCAAGUGUCAAGGUAAUCACAAGAUGGUCUCGUGUUUAAUGCAGCCUCUAUCCAUUUAAUAGCUCAAUUUUUCAAAUCAUAUCUCCUAAUGUCAAAUAAGAUAAUAUUUGAAUCCUCUCUAUUGUGUUGCAAAAAAUUAUAAUUUGGUGAAGAACUCGUUGGCCAAGAAUGUUAAACAUGAAAUAAAAAAGUCUGACAAAAGAUGACAUAAAAAGGAAAAAAGCAUCACCGAAUAAUUAUUCAAUUGCUGAGAACCAUUGGCUGGUAAUUUAUUAACACUUCAUCGAAAAAAUAAAAUAUAUGUAAAAUGUUAAAAAAUAAUUACCUUAAGGAGAGAGAUAAAAGUGAGUCAGGCGGAGGGUAAUGACUAAUAAUCUUUAAACAUGAUGUAGCAUGGGAAAAUCUAGUCUUUCGUGGAAUGUGUGCACUAAUCUUCGGCCGACCUCACUCCGAGCAUCAGCAUUGCUCGUUGGUUUUCUUUUCAAUUCUUCAUUUACUUGGAAAAGCAAGUCAUGUCAAGGUGCAACUGCAUAGGUAGGUUCAACGCACCUUUCCCAUAAUGCUGCGGAAAUUACGCCUGCAAUGGUUGUCCUUUGCUUUUUAUUUUCUAGUUGUUUUAACAAUAGAAAAAUCAAUCAAGUUGAAGUCCUGCUUACUUGAGAUAAAAAGCGCCUGCAUAGGCUCUACGCCCCUUCCGCGCAAUGCCGUGGAAAUUAUGCAUGCAAUAAUUAUGCUUUUUGUGCAGCAUGCAUCGCAAUCGCAACGGUUCGAUUAGUUGAAGAUUCUUGGACGGUUGGAUGGCAAGAACUCAGCAUUGUUCAAGCACGCGCAGUGGAGAGCGUUGUGGUGUCAUUUCUCUAACUCGCUGUCGCCGGAUGUGUUCGAUGUUGACUAGUUUUGACAUUUCUCUCAACUUUUGGCAUGCGAGUAAUACAGUGAGAAGCUCGAAAUAUUGAGGAUGAUGUGUUUCUUCCACAGCUCUUAUCAAAUUUCAGAUUUGCCGGAACUUCUCAGUACAUGUUCUCUUCCCAUUUUCGAUUUACUAUUGGUGCUUCCAAGCGGCAACUUAAGAUGAUUUCUUUGUCCAAUUUGUUUUCGUUUUUAUCUUCUAGCUGGUGAAGCAUAGAAACCAUCACAUAUUUCUUAUGAAUCUCAACAUUUGAUUGACUUCAUCAAUCAUUUGUUGUUUGAAAUUCCUUUACCUUAUGGAGGAAGACGUGAAGGGUUUGAAUAGCUAUCAUAGAGUGAAAUGGGAAAAGAGUGACUCCUAUGAAAGCCAUCAUGUAAUUCUCAAACUUUGAUUCGUUUCAUGGAACAUGUUUGAAUGGAACAACAAAAAUAUGGUUCACUCAUUAAGUUUUCAAUUACGCUUUUAUGGAGAUUUCCAAGUCUAGUAAAUAUCAGAUGUAUCGUAGACCCUCGUGGAAAUAUGAGAAGCAACUUGAGUGAAAAUUCAUCAUCUCUUCUUCACUCCAAAAGGUGAUUACUUCAUUGAUAUCAAUGUGUAGAGUUUUGGAUACUCCAUUUCUUUUCAUGUUUUGCAAAUUAAGUGUACAAAAAGGCUUAUGUUGAAUAUGAUAGUCUGAAAUUUACAUAAACUCGAAUGAUAUAAAAGAGGAUAUGCACAAAUAUGAAUUAGUUGAUUAGGAACGCCAUGCGGGAUAUGUCUUCAAUUAUACACUUGUGUUGAUAGAAUGUUUGUACCUAUGAGUAAAGAAGUGAGUACAUGGUGUUAGGAGGUUUUAUAAGCUAAGCUGGUUGUCAAAACAGCAAAAGUAAGCUAAUAGUAUAUAGCUACAAUACACUAGGUGUGAACGUAAUCACUCCUUAGUGUCGUGUUUAAUGCAAUUCCUCUCCAUUUAAUAGCUUCAAUUUUUCAAAUCACAUCUUGUAAUGCUAAAUAAGUUGAUAUUGAAUCCUCCUCUAUUGUGCUACGAAAAAUUAUAUUUUGGUGAAGAACCCAUUGGCCGAGAAUGUUGACAUGAAAUUAAACGUCUGACAAAAGAUAACAUAAAAGGGAAAAAAAAGUAUCACUGAAUUAUUAUUCGACUACGGAGAAUUAUUGGCUGAGAAUUUAUUAACGUGACACUAGAAGAAUAAUUUUUUAUGUAAAAUGUUAAAAACUAUUAAUUUAAGGGGAGAGAUAAAAGUGGCUUGGGCAGAGGAUAUCCACUUGAUAAUUUUUAAGCAAAAAGUAGUAUGGAGAAAUACAGUUUAAGGAAAUUAUUUUGAAAAAGAUUUAUUUUGGAGUUACUUUCUAGACGAAUAAAAAAAGGUAAUGCGUCAUGCCGACUUUUAAUAACAAAAUCCUCUAUAACCCCCGAUUUAUAUGCUCUUGUCAUGGGCUCAUGUACAUUAGCAGCAUAUAAGAGAAUGAAAGCAAGUCAAGACAGUGAUGGAUCUCUCCAGUUCCAUUGAAAGCACGUAGAUAUGUUCCAAGUACCUUCCCCGUAAUAUGCUGAGAAUCGGUGGAGAUCACGGCAGAAGCAUGUGAGUAUUGCUCGUCGGUUCACUUUUCUACUUUUUCUUAGUUAUAUAAAAAGCAAGUCAAGUCAUGAUGCUGCCGAGGAUUGCGUGUCUCCAAGUCAUGAUGCUGCUUCGACCCACAAAACGAAGUCAUGAAGCUGCGGAAACUGCGCGUGCAAUGAUUGUUCUCUCUGUGGCAUGCCUCACAGCAUUUCGAUUGGCAUGAAGAGUCCUGGACCACUGGAUGGCAAGAACUCAGACAUCAUUUGAGCAUGCAUAUUAGAGAAUGUUGCGUAUUCGUAAUCCGACUUCAAAGGCUAAAAAUCGGUGGAGAUCCCAGGGUUCUGCUGUUUGAGCAUUCCUCUAGUAAUCAACGACGCCUUCUUCUUUUUCUGUUUUCUGUUCUGAUUGCUCCAUUAUCUUCUGAUGAUUUGUCUGAGAGUUUCUAUUUCUGUUUGAAUGUAGCUUCGUGUUUGGCCACUCUGAGACAUUUCUGCUAGUCCUAGAUCUGGGAUUUUGCAUCUCUCCCCUGUUUCCUCCUCUAUCAAUCUCUUUUACGAUCCUUUCAAGAUGGAAAGAAGAAAAUUCACACAUUCAGAAGAUUCGAUGUACGAGGUGUCUUCCUCGUCGACGACCCCACAUGUAGGUGAUUAUGAAGGCGGAACCAGAAGGUUGAAAGGAAAUGAUUACGAAGUGUUUUUGAGCUUUAGAGGGGAAGCCACUCGCAAAGGUUUCACUGAUUAUCUCUAUACUAGCCUUGUCGAGAAAGGAAUUCAUGUGUUUAGAGACGACAAUGAGCUUCGUGUUGGUGAGAAGAUUGGUCCGGAGCUUCUUUGCAGCAUUAUGCAGUCCACGAUUUUGAUCCUGAUUAUCUCCGAGAACUAUGCUUUUAGCAAAUGGUGUCUUCGCAAGCUGGCUCAAAUGUUGAAGUGCAAGAGAAGCAGAGGGCAAAUAGUGUGGCCCAUCUUUUACAAAGUGAAACCCUUGCAAGUGCGCCAUCUUAAAGGGAGAUUCGAAGAUGCUAUCAAAGCACAUAAAGAGAAUAGGAACGAAAUGGUUUUGAGGGAAUGGAAAAAAGUGCUCAAAGAAGUGAAGGAAUGGGAAGAAGCGCUCAAAGAAGUUGGUUCUUUGAAAGGAUGGGAAUCGGAGAACAUUGAUAAUGGGUACACUAUUCUUUACCAAAUCAUUGUUUAAUUUCUCAUAAAUAAAUCUUUCGUGAAAAAGAACAUAAAUGCGGUCGUCCUAUACUGAAAUUAAUUGUUAUUGCGGUAGGCAUGAAGGAGCAUUUGUUAAAACUAUUGUCACAAACGUUAUGGGCGAGUUAAAAAGACUUUUUCUGCUAAAUGUUCCCAAGCAGUUGGUGGGAAUUGAUGAUCGUAUCAAUGACAUUAUGAGCUCGAUAGAUGAUAAAUUAUAUGACACGAAUAUUAUUGGACUUUAUGGAAUGGGCGGCAUCGGUAAGACGACUCUUGGAAAGGUGUUAUACAAUAAGCUCUCUAGUCAUUUUGAGUAUCGUAGUUUUGUGGAAAAUAUUCGAGAAACAUAUCAGCGCCAUGGUAUUGAAUGCAUACUGAACAAACUCAUUUAUGAUGUAAUACGAAGUUCAGGUCAUGUGUCUAGUGUUGACGAGGGAAUAGGUGUAAUCAAAUCUCGAUUUACAAGUAAGAAAGUUUUAUUUCUACUUGAUGAUAUGGAUGAUAGUACUACUCACUUGAAUGCUUUGGUCAAAGACCGUAGUUGGCUUGGAGUAGGAAGUAUAGUCAUCAUUACAACCAAAAACAAGAGCAUUCUCGAUGAGGCUAAGGCAUGCUACAGAUACCCACUUAAUGAGUUGUCUAUGGAUCAACAAUUGAUUUUAUUUAGUAGACAUGCAUUUCAAAAAGAUUAUCCUCGGAGUGAUUAUGAGGUUCUUUCUCGUGAUGUCAUAUCUACUACCGGGGGGCUUCCAUUAGCUCUUGAAGUUACUGGUUCAUUCUUAUGUGGAAAGAGGAGAAGUAUGGAAAGAUACAUCAAAAAAAAAUUAGAAAAAAUACCUGAUAAGAAAGUGCAAGAGACAUUGAAGAUAAGUUACAAAGCAUUAGAACAUGAGGAAAAACAAAUAUUUUUGGAUAUUGCUUGCUUUUUCAUUGGAUCAUCAAAACAAAAUCCAACUUACAUGUGGGAUGCUUGUGGUUUAUUUCCGAAGAGGGGGAUUGAAGUGUUGAGUCUUAUGUCCCUAAUUAAAAUUAACGGAGGUGGUAAGCUAAUGAUGAUGAUCAAUUGAGAGAUCUUGGAAGGGAAAUUGUUUGUCUAGAAAAUCCAAAUGAGCCUCAAGAGCAUAGUAGAUUGUGGAUCUAUGAGGAAGCCCUAGAUGUGCUUGAUAACAAUGAGGUAAGAGUUUUCUUUACUUGUCUUAGUCGGUGAAUGUGGGUACAUCUUCCCUUUCUUGUUUGAAAUAAAAAUAACUGUCACUCUGAGUCCCCAAAACUUGUUGCAUCUACUAGCAAAGGAGCUCUUUUGAUUAAUUGCAGUAUUUGCCUGAUUCAAGAUCAUAAUUGAGAAGCAAUUUCUUGGUUAUGGACGAUUGUUAUAUAUCUUUACAUGGUAGUAUCGUGAUGAGGAUACUCUCCUUUUGGUAACUUCAAUGCAAAAACAAGACUACAAAAGCAUAAUGUGUGACAGCCUUUCUCAUACUCAACUCACAAGGAUCUUUAGAGAGAGAAACUCUAGAGAGAGAAGCUCUGGAUUGUAUUACUUGUGAAUGAGAUGAGUACAAUGAGGGGGAGGAGACUCUUAUAUAUACAAAUACAAGGCAAACCGUAUCCAUAGAUCUCUCCUCGAUCUAAUGAAGGAGAUUGGAUUUCCCCAACUACCAACUACCCGCAUUUAUUACAUACGAAUACAAUUACUGUAUCGCCCGCCCCCAAGAGUAUUCUAGAAGACUCGAGAAACCUUAGGACUCGGGGAUACAAGCCAAGGGUCGCUUGAUCCACGGAUGUGUCACAGCCAUCCCUUAGAACCCUCUUAGAUCGGCCUUCUUUCGAGCCAUGACAAUGACAUGAAGGAUUUCAUGACUUAGGCAAGUUUGGUUUCACGUACUUAGUAUGUCAUAAGUCCAUGACAAGAACCCACCUUCCCCAUUUUGGUUGUGUUUUAUUUAAUGAAUAAAGGCUGUUGUAAUUUCUUAUAUUGGUCAAUCACAUAAAGCCAUAUUUUAAUAAUUUGGUGUUGUCUGCUUGCUCCUAUUUGAAUUUUCCCCUUCUAGAAGGACUCAAAUGCAACACUUUUGAGUUUUGCCAUUUUGCACAAACCAACCCAAAUAUGCAAAAAAGGCAAAUUCCCUGUUCAUAUUGCCAAUCUAUAUGUAUACAAUAUUCCUGCAGUUAGAGGAAUGUAUUAUAAUCUGAGUUAGUUAGCAUAUAUUCAGAAUUUAAUCCUUAUUUGGGUAAACAGUCUUAUGCGAAGAAAGCAAGACCGCCCUAUAUUUCAUCCUUCCAUAUAUAUAUACUUUGAUUUUCCGAGAUAUUGCCUUAAUGCUUUACUUUGGAAGGAGGGGAAGAGGAGGAAAAUGAAGUAAAUUCUCGUAACUUUUGUGAGAAGAAGUGGGAGGAAAAUUCAAAAAAUUUCUAUCUUCCUUUCCUCCAUGUAUCCAAGCAAAGCAACUUUUCCUUUUAUAACGACGGUGCAUGCUUGCUAAAUAGACCACAAGCAUAGGGAAAUUUAUGCGUUGUUGCUAGCAUAGGGGUCAUCAUCAAUUGGAAUCAACUAAACUUUAAUUUCAUUCAUCAAAUGCAUGGAACUACAAUUUACUUCCUGUUGGGAUAAACGAAUUCCCUAAAACCAAUCCGAAACUCAAUCAAACCCCUAAAACAACGAAUGCGGAAGGCGAGCCCAGGAAGCACAUGUAUCACCGAUCAAAAAGUACAUUACAAAAUCGAACGUACCUUGUCUUUCACAAAUUAAACACCAAUGUUGAAGUUCGAGGAAGAAUCCCGAUCUUGUUCUACUGAGGAGUGUACUGUUCUUUCCAGGGGGAGAAAUUUCUGUUUGAGAGCAUACUGUUCUUUCGUUUGGGGAAGAGAGCGUCUUCUGAAAAUGUACGUACGUAAAAGUACGUUCUUUUUUUUUUUUCUAUCUCUUAAAAUGCCUCCAAAAGACGUAGCCUCUCAACGUAAAAUGACUCUUCCAAAAGACAUAAUCCCUCAAUGUAUCCUUUCAUAUCUCAACCCUUCCUCCAUGGGCCCUUAACUUGUGGGCCAGGUUUUUAGGCCCAACAUGGGCGGACGGGCCUUCUUAGGCCCAUCAACACAUAGAAAAAAGCCCAUCAUCUCUCACUCACACAUGGUGGCCGAACAUGAUCCUCUUUAUCUCUUUGCAACAUUCAUACUGAUGAAUAAUCUGUGCCACCAGCAUGCUUUGAGAGCUCGUUGCCAUACAUCUAUUAGGAAUAUAUAGCAGCUCAUAAUGGGCAUCACACUCUGAGUAGAUUUAGUAUGCAGUACCCUAGAUCGAUCGAUCACAUUUAUAUCUCUCUUGAUCUAUUUUAAACAUAUAUAUAUAUAUAUACACAUAUUGUAUUCACAAUUAUGAUUAUCUCUAAAACAAUCAUAAUUGGUCGACCAGUGAAUACAAAACUAGAAUGUGAUUCUCCAAAUUCGAUCUUCUUAUUUCCUUCAAACUCUCAAUUUCAGUUCAGCUUACUUUUCUAGAAAUGUCCCAUUAGAUCAAAUUAAUGCAUGAUCAUUGGCAACAUCCUAAGAUAGCAAAUACUAAAUAGAAGUCUUGAGAACAAGUAAGAGUUAUGAGAGAACUAAAUUGAUGAACUCUUUUCCUCAAGAGUCUCAUACGGUAUAAAAGUUGAGAUCAAACUUUUGCCACUCUUAUUGGUCGUCUCAUGUAUACGUAGUAUGAAAUACAUAUUACGGUAUUAACUCAUUUCCCAUGGAGUGUAUGUCUACACCAUUAAUACCGUACAGAUGAUAGUUCAGACAUACCUAAUGUCUAACUUGAGUUCACAUAUCUACUCAUUCACAUAAUUCAUCAAAACUCACAUCUGGCAUCAUAGACAGAUAAAGUAAAAUAUGUGGGUUAUUUUACUUUCGGACAUAGUAAAUAUUAUGUUCUCAUAUUAAUACUCAGUUAAUGUAACAUAUAUAUUUUAAACUUUAGCUCUCGAUUAUCACCUAGAUAAUAAGCUUAAAAACUGUCUUAUCUCUAUUUAUCACAUACCUAAUGUCUAACUUGAGUUCACAUAUCUACUCAUUCACAGAAUUCAUCAAAACUCACAUCUGGCAUCAUAGACAGAUAAAGUAAAAUAUGUGAGUUAUUUUACUUUUGGACAUAAUAAAUAUUAUGUUCUCAUCUUAAUACUCAGUUAAUGUAACAUAUAUAUUUUAAACUUUAGCUCUCGAUUAUCACAUAGAUAAUAAGCUUAAAAACCGUCUCAUCUUUAUUUAUCACAUAGUAAAUAAAAGGCGAUUACCCAUGUGAGUGGGCUAAUCUUUUAUAUGUCCGACAUACUUUCUUAACUUUAUAUAAUGCACUGAGCACUAAGAUGCAUAAAGGUCAAACAAAGAUUCAUAAGCAUUAAUAAUUAAAAACACAAAUUCAUUACAUGUGAACACUUCAGGGAAAUUACAAUAUUCAAUACAUCAGCCUCUACGGGUGCGUUUGGAUGGGCAUUUAGAAAGCCCAUUCAGCCCCCAAAGCCCUUUCAGCCAAAAUAAGGGUGUUUGGCAACCAAUCUCAAGGAGCUUUCAAAUGAAAGUCAAUCCUUGGAAAUGCUGAAAACAUUUUUUUUCUUCCUAAACUACCCUCAUUAAUUUUUCAUAUUUCCGUUAUUACCCCUGUAUUUAUUUAUUUUUUAAAUGAAAAAGGAGCAGCCCUUCGCCAGACCGGCGAAGGGCGACGGCCACUGGCGAGGGUCGGGCGACCUCCGGCGGCCCUCGGCUGCGCGACCCUCGCCGUAGGUCGCCCGACCUCGGGCGACCUCAGCCGACGGCCGCCAGCGGCCGCAGCCCUUUGCCGGUCUGGCGAAGGGUUUAGCUGAAUUUUCAAAAAAAUAAAAAUAAAAAUAAUACCCAUCAAAGCCCCUUGCGAAAGUUUUUUUUACCAAACGCAUAUUUAGCUCAAAGUCCAUUUGCAAAUUUUUUUUACCAAACACAACUGCAUUUUCCCCAAGUAACUUUAGGCUUUCAGCAUUUGCAUUGGACUCAAAGCCCAUUGCAAAUGCUGAACCAAACGCAGCCUAUGCAGUCCUAAAGAUUUUAGAUGACUACAAAACACAUCUCUAUGUAUUGGCUUUAUCAUAGGAUCUAUUACCAUUCCAUGCGUAGAUAUGUACUGUAAGUUUACAUCUUUUCGUGCAACCAUAUCUUUGACAAAAUUAUACUUUGUAUCUAUAUAUUUGGUCUUGCCGUGAUAUUUGGGAUAUUUGGUGUACGCUAUAGCUGCUUAGCUAUCACAGUUAACCAAUAAUGGAUUUGUAACAUACCUAAUAAUACCUAAAUGAUUCAAAAAUCUCUUAAGCUAGACAUAUUCUUGUACUGCUGCUGAUAAUGCCAUGAACUCAGCUUCCAUCGUGGACAAGGCUAUACACAUUUGUUUCUUACUGCUCCAAGAUAUGGCGCCAUUAUUCAGUAAGAAAGCAAAUCCAAAGGUAGAUUUCCUUUCAUAUAAAUCUCAUCCCCAAUCAGCAUAUGAAUAGCCUUCAAGUUACAGAUCAUUUCCUUAGUAGCUCAACGUAUAAUCAGCAGUUCCCUUCAGAUAGCUCAGUAUUCUUUCAACGGCUUUCCAAUGUGCUUGACCUAGAUUGGGUUGAUAUCUAUUCACUAUUCCAACUGCAAAACAUAUGUCAGGUCUUGUACACAUCAUAGCAUACAUUAAGCUUCUAACAACACUAGCAUAAGGAACAUGUUGCAUUUGUUCCUUCUCUUGUGGAGUCUUUGAACACAGUCUAUGGCUCAAUCCUUUACCUUUUGCAAUAGGAGUAUCUAUUGGUUUACAAUUUUGCACACGAAAUCGUUCAAGAACUUUAUUUAUGUAUGUUUCUUGCGAAAGAGAUAAUGACCUCAUUGAACGAUCUAUUGAAAUCUUAACUCCAAGAAUGUAUGCAGCCUUACCUAUAUCUUUCAUCUCAAAGUUGGAAGAUAACCAACUCUUGACAGUAUUAACAAACUCCAUAUUACUUCCGGCAAUUAAUAUAUCAUCAACAUAUAAUGAUAUGAUCACAAAUUGAUAUUUAGAUCUUUUGAUAUAUACACAAUGAUCCUCAUCAAUCAUUGUAAAAGCAUAUGCCAUUAUGGCAUUAUGAAAACGUAUAUAUCAUUGUCUCGACGACUGCUUAAGGCCAUAUAUCGAUCUCAAAAGUCGACAUACAUUUUCUUCUUAGCCUUCCAUAAUGAAACCAGUAGGUUAUUUCAUAUAUAUUUCUUUCUCUAAUUCUCCAUUGAGGAAAGCAGUCUUUACAUUCAUUUGAUAUAACUUAAGAUCCAUACUAACUACUAUUGCUAAAAUAAUGCAAAUCGAUAUAAAUCUCACUACAGGAGAAAAUGUUUUCUCAUAAUCAAUUCCUUCCUGUUGAUUGUACCCAUUUGCCACAAGACGAGCUUUAUAUCUUUCUAUUGAGCCAUCAGUUUUACGCUUUAUUUUGAAAACCCACUUGUUCCUAAUGGCUUUGCAUCCUUUUGGAAGAUCAACUAGUUCCCAAACAUGGUUUGACUUCAUUAACUCCAUCUCCUCUUCCAUUGCAUGCAUCCAUUUUCCCUUACUAAGGCAAUUUAAAACCUCAUUAACAUUUCUGGGCUCAUCUUCAUCUUGUGGAGCAACCAAAAAAGUUUCCCUUUCAAUGUCAAAACGUCGACGGGAAAUACUUUUGCGACUUGUUCGCUGUACGAGAGAUUGUACACUUUGCACAUCAUUCCCCAUUAUGCUCCCACUCGGAUUAGAUAAUGACGAUAUCAUCUCAUCAUGUGGUUGUAAUUGAGAGUGAGUUGAAUUAAAUUCAUCACUUCUUAUGUUACUCCCAUUGGACGAACUCCUCUAAAUUCAUUAUCUGGAUCCAAGGUUUCAAAUAGGGAGUAAUUAUCACAUAUUUCACCAUUCUUAGGAAAUUAAUUCUCUAAGAACGUGGCAUCACGUGAUUCGAAUUUAGUUAUACUUCCACUUUCCUGCUCACCUAUAAACACAUACCCUUUCGAGUGUUCAGAGUAUCUUAUGAAAAUACUCUUCUUUCAUCUGGGACCUAAGUUCCCAAACUUGUAAGAUGGCUCAUGAGUAGAGGCAACACAACCCCAUGGUUUAAGAAAACUUAAGUCCGGUUUUCUACCUGUUCAUAACUCAUAUAGAGUGAAAGUAACUGAUUUGGAAGACCCCUAGUUAAGUAUAUAGGCAACAGUUAAUAACACAUCACUCCAAAAAGUGAUAGGUAAGUUAGCACGUGCCAUCAUGGACCUAACCAUUUCUAGUAGGUUUUGUUCCUUCUCUUCAUAAUACCAUUUUAUUGAGAAGUAUAUGGAAUAGACAACUGUCAUUCUAUUCCUUUUUCAUCACAUAAUUUUCUGAACUCAUCAGAUAAAUAUUCUUGACCUCGAUUGGAUCUCAAUACUUUUAUUUUCUUGUCUACUUGAUUUUCUACCAAGUUCAUAAAUCUUUUGAAACAACUCAAUGCCUCAGAUUUAUGAGAAAUCAAGUAGACAUAUUCGAAUCGAAUAUAAUCAUCUAUAAAUGUGAUGAAAUAAACAGCUCCAUGUCUUCCUCUCAUAGUCAUUGGACUACAGACGUUAGAAUGGAUUAAAUACAAAGGAAAUUAAGCUCUUUUACCUUUUCCAAAUGGUUUCCUUGUCAUUUUCCCUACUAAGCAAUACUCACAUAUGGGCAAAUUUACAUUUUCAAUGUUGCCCAACAAGCCCUCUUUGGCUAGCCUAUUCAUACGUUGUUGGCCAAUAUGAUCAAGUCUAGCAUGCCACACAUUCACAUCAUUAUCAUAUAAAUUAGGAGACGUGAAAGGGAAUAACAAACUUUGAAAUUACCAUAGUCAACAUUUAAUACAAUAAAACCAUCUAGAAAAUAACCACAAUCAUAGUAAUUUGUAUCCAAAUACAAAUCCACACCAUUAUUAUGGAAGUUCAUAUUAAAACCAAGCUUAACUAACACUAAAACAGACACUAAAUUCCGACGAAUCUCCGAAGUAUACAAUACAUCAUGUAGGAACAAAGUGCGUCCACCACGCAUGUUCAAUUGACAGGUGUUAAUCCCUUUUACAUCGGCUCUGGAGUUAUUUCCUACAUAUAUCAACUUAGUUUCAGUUGAUACUUGUCAGAAUUCCAUGAAGGAUUUUCUAUCAUUCGCUACAUGGUCUGUUGUUCUUGAAUCUACAGUCCACAAAGGAUUAAACUUAGUUAAGAAUACAAAACCUGACACAUAAGCAAAGUUCUCAAAAGUACAAGGGGUGUAUACCUUCUUUGGCUCGCGACAGUCGCGAGCAUAGUGACCCUUCUUGUUACAAUUAUAACACUUCACCCUUGACAACUUUUUCAUUCGAGGACGAUUUCCUCUUUCAUGUUGGUCAACUUUUGGUUUCUUCCCUGAAGAACUUGCUCCCUUGCCUUUCCACCUAUUGAACCAAUCAAGAUGUUUGCACUUGGAGCUCGAAGCUCCAUGUGAGCUGGAACCAGCAUGAUAAAUUUCAGUUUCCGGUUUAGCUACCAAGAGGCGGUCAUCUUCCAACUCAAGAUGAUACAUUGCAUUCUCAAAGGUUUUGAUAUUCUUAUUGUGGGUCAGGUGCACCUUCAUAUGCUCCCAACUCUAAGGCAAUGAACGAAUCACUACUUGCACUUGCUGCUCGUUAGUCAGGAUAUGGCUAGCAUCUUUCAGCUCAUUAAUCAUGUUUGACAUCUUUCUUAGGUGUUGCUUCAUGGUUUGACCAUAAGACUUCUUGUAAGAGUCAAACCUAAUAGUGAGCUACCUCAGUCUGGUCAUCGAAGUAUGACUAAAUCUUGCUGCCAAUGCUUCCCACAUUUCCUUGGCAUUCUCAAAACGCCUGAACUCUCACAUGACAUCAUUCUCCAUGCUACUCAGCAAUGUAAUGCGAGCAAGGGAGUUCUUUCUCUUCCAUAAAGCAAAUGCAUCCUUAUCUCUCUUAUGUUGUGCAGUGUUUCCAUCUUCAGAUUCUUCCAUAGUCAAGUUAAGAGCUUCUAGUGCCUCUUGCUCUUCCAGCACAUAUUAGAUUUUCAUAUGCCAUAUUUCAUAGUUAUCGCCGUUAAGCUUCUCACCUUUGUUCAACUUAGCGACUAUGCUCUUUAUGGCUGAAGCCAUCGAUCUGAAUAUAUCAGACACAUAUGCACGAAUUAUUAAUGCCUAUCAUUUAUGCAUCCAUUUUGCACAAACCCAUCAUAUUAAUGAAUAAUUUCAAGUAACGUUUCAGAAUCAAAAUGUCACUAUGUUUUUAAUCAUCAUCUAAAAAUCCUGACUCAUAAUUAUUAUUAAUACAAUUUUCUAUGCAAAAUAAAUUCUUUGAAGCUACAAAAACUUCUAUGAACUACCCAUAACAGUUAAUAAUAAUAUAAGCAAAUGAUAUUGGACAUCCAAUAAAGAUAGAAUAAUAAUAUAUCCACAUAAUGCAACUAACAUAUUAGUUGCUACACCGACAUCAACUAGGUAGGAAAUAUUUACAUAAGAUGUCCAUAAAGCAUACUAAACAAAGACCACUUGAAACAUCUAACGCCAAGAUAACAUAUGAUUGGGAAAGAUUCUUUUUUGUUCAAUUUCUUGAGCUUUUCUUUUGUAAAUUCCUUAGGCAUUCUCGGCAGCCAUGGAGAAAUAGACGAAUAUCCCUUAGGAUUUCUCCUUCGCGCAUUCAUCCCCCACCAGAUCGAAGUCAUUCCUAGGGUCGUAGUCUUUGUGGCUUCAAUCCGAUAAUGUUCAUCUAUAAAAGCCAUUACAAGCCUCCUAUACUUAGUAGCUCGAUUGACCUCCCAUAGGCGAUUCAACACUCCUUGCCAUAUCGGUGGAAGAGUGUUCUUGAAGAAUCGCACCAUCUCAGAAUGUGGCAUGGUUCCAUAUGACCUCUUGUAUUUUCCCAUUAACCUCGAGAACAUCAACCUAGAAAGCCUUUCUUUUUGUUCAUCUGUAGUUGCGCGAAUAGGUGUGCAUGCCUUACGGGGAAGCAUUGUUCCUGCAACAAAUGUAGAACAAAAAGGGAUUACAUAUAAUCCACAUAGGCUUAAUUGAAAAAGAAACGCAUUCCUUUUGGGGGGGUCAACGGUCAACGGUCAGCGGUCAACGGUCAGCGGUCAACAGUCAACGGUCAACGGUCAUACUAAUUUACCCUUCCGUUUUAGCAUGCAGCAACGUUAUUCUGGUGUCUCGCUUGCUUCACCUUCCCAUUACAUUUCCCUGACGAUUCCAUUUAUUAAUGGAAAGCAAGUCAAGUCAAGUCGUGCUGGAUCUCAAAUUUCAAUCAAAGCACCUCCGUAGGUUGCACGCACUUUCCACAUAAUGCUGACGAAAUUAGGCAUGCAAUAACUCGACAUCCGUCAAGUGGCCACGAUAGAAAAAGAAAGGACUAGAAGCAUCUUUAUUGCAAGCUGGUUGUGCACAAUAGAAAAAGUAAGGACAAGGACUAGGAGCAUCUUUAUUGCAAGUUGGUUUUCUUUUUUGCUUUUUUGCCCAAAGAAAAAAAAAGAAAAAAGCAAGUCAAGUCAAGUCAAGUCAAGAAGCCAUUGCAAAGGUCCCCGCAACUUCUGCAUAAUCCUACAAAUAUUACGAGUGCAAUGACCAUCAUUCUUUAAGCACCUAGUAGUCAAGAAUUAGCAUUGUUCAAGAAUGCAUAAUAGAGAGUUUGUGUGUUUGUAAUCCAACAUCGACAGCUGACGAUCGGUGUAGAUCCCGACAGUGGCUAGGUCAUGUCAUUUGAGCACUCCUAAGGUAAUCGAUGGCUUCAUGUACUUCUCUAUUUCCCACUUUGAGUGCUCUAUUUUCUUCUGAUGAGUCAUCUAAGAGUUUCUAUUUUUGUUUGAAUGUAGCUCCGAGUUUGAGUCUUGGGAGACAUUUUUGCUAUUCUCAAAUUUUUUUUGGUUAGUUGCUACUCUCAAAUUUGGGAUUCCAUAUAUUCUCUCUAUUUCCUUCUCCAUCAAUCUCUUUUACAAUCCUCUCAAGAUGAAAAAAAAAGAACCCUUUAAUUCAAAAGAUCUUAUCUAUGAGGCGUCUUCCUCAUCGACCUCUCCACAUGGAGGUGAUUAUGAAGGUGGAACCAAAAGGCCUAAGGGAAAUGAUUAUGAAGUGUUUUUGAGUUUUAGAGGGGAAGACACUCGAAAAGGCUUCACCGAUCAUCUCUAUCAUAACCUUAACCAUGCAGGAAUUUGUGUGUUUAGAGACAAUAAUGAGCUCCGUGUUGGUGAGGAGAUUGGUUCGGAGCUUCUUUGCAGUAUUAUAAAGUCUAAGAUCUCGAUCCCAAUUAUUUCGGAGAACUACGCCUCAAGUAAAUGGUGCCUUCACGAGCUAGUUGAGAUGUUGAAGUGCAAGAGAAGUAAAGGGCAGAUAGUGUUGCCCAUAUUUUACAAAGUGGAACCCUCACAAGUGCGACGUCCUUUAAGGAGAUUGAGAGAUGCUAUCAAUGCACAUAAAAAGAUUAUGGAUGAAAUGGUUGUGAAGGAAUGGGAAGAAGCACUUAAAGAAGUUAGCUUCUUGAAAGGAUGGGAAUCGGAGAAAAUUGAUAACGGGUACCUUAUUCUCCAACAAAACAUUGUUUAAUCUUUCAUAAAUAGAUAUUUCUUGAAAAAGAAUAUACAUAUUGCUAUCCGAUAUUGAUAUUCAUUGUUACUUGACAGGCACGAAGGAACAUUAGUGGAUAUUGUUGUCAAAAAAGUUAUGGGCGAGUUAAAAAGGUUUUUUCAACUAAAUGUUCCCGAACAGUUGGUGGGAAUCAAUGAUCAUGUGCAACAGAUUAUGAGCGAGAUAGAUGCUGAAUUCAAUGGUACAAGGAUUAUUGGAAUUUAUGGAAUGGGCGGCAUUGGUAAGACAACUCUUGCAAAGGUGUUAUACAAUGAACUUUCUAGUCAAUUUCACUAUCGUAGCUUUGUGGCAAAUAUUCGAGAAACAUAUCAGCGUAAGGGUAUUGAGUGUGUACAAAAGCAACUCAUUUCUGCCAUAAUAGGAAGUUUGUGUGAGGUGUCUAAUGUCGAUGAAGGAAUCAAUGUCAUAAAAUCCCGAUUUACAAGUAAGAAAGUUCUUGUUCUUUUAGAUGAUAUGGAUGAUUGUACGCACUUGAGUGCUUUGGUCAGGGAUGGUAGUUGGUUUGAAGCGGGAAGUAUAGCCAUCGUCACAACUAGAAACAAAAGCAUUCUUGAUGAAGGUAGGGCGGGCUAUACGUACCAACUCAAAGAGUUGUCUUUUUAUCAAUCACUGAUUUUAUUUAGUAGACAUGCAUUUCGAAAGGAUUAUCCUCCAAGUGAUUAUGAGGUUAUCUCUCGUGAUGUCGUAUCUACUACUGGGGGGCUCCCAUUAGCUCUUGAAGUUAUAGGUUCGUUCUUAUGUAGAAAGAGAGAAUAUGUAUGGAAAGGUACAUUAAAAAAAUUAAAGAAAGUGCCCCAUGAGAAAGUGCAAGAGAAGUUGAAAAUAAGUUAUGAAGCAUUAGAUUAUAGGGAACAACAAAUAUUUUUGGAUAUAGCGUGCCUUUUCAUCGGAUCACAUAAACAAAAUCCAACCUAUAUGUGGGAUGCUUGUGAUUUUUUCCCCGGGAUGGGGAUUGAAGUAUUAACUCAUAUGUCCCUAAUUAAAAUUGACGAAGAUGGAGAGCUAUUGAUGCAUGAUCAAUUGAGAGAUCUUGGAAGGGAAAUUGUUUAUCUAGAAAAUCCAACGGAGCCUCAAGAGCGUAGCAGAUUGUGGAUCUGUGAGGAAGCCCUAGAUGUGCUUGACAAUUGCAAGGUAUGAGUCUUCUCUACUUUUCUUAGUCAGUGAAUGUGGGUCCAUCUUCCCUUUCUUGUUUGAAAUAAAAAUAAGUAUCAGUCUUGAGUCCCCAUAAAUUGCUGCUUCUCUAAGCAAAAGAGUUUUUUUGAUUAAUCAUUGUUUUUGCCUGAUUCUAGAAAUCUAUGGUAAAAAUGAGCAAAAUUUAGAUGACUAGUACUUCUUUGUAACAAAAUCAACACGAAAAUGAAAAUAUAGCAUCAAACAUCUGUAGCAAUAAAAAGAAUCACAUAUAGAAUGAUUGUAAUUAUCAAUUUUCCUUCCACGUAUAAUGAAAAACCCUCAUUGAAGGAACACAUGAUAAGAAAGGAACAUAAAACACACACGUAUCUUUUGCAAUGACAUUCUUGUUUUCAUUUUGAUAUUGACAAUUGCAAACAAAGUAAACCAAAAAAGUGAGGAAAUUCUACAAUUGGGAUUCUUUAAUUUUGAUACUUAUAUCGAUGGAUAAUUUGAUAGAUGCAUUUGGAUGGUUAGAGUUGUAUUGGUUCGCAUAUACAUGAUAGGAGUAAAGGAAGUGUUAUUUCACAUAUAAAGGGCAUGAAUUUUGAUAAAUAUAUUUGCAAAUUGGACUCAAAUUUUGGAAAUUCAGAAGGUGCAAAAUGCGAAUGGUAUAGGUGGAUGAGGAAAAAGUUUGGAGACAAUCACUUGAGCUUCUCAUCUUUACAUAUAUUAGAUAAAUAAUAUGCAACUACACCUUUUCAUUUCACAAAAAUGAAAGGUAGAAGCCUACGCCAUAGUAGUAUGACAGCAAAUCGAAAUCAAUGCAUAUUAUUUUAUUUCAAUUGGUCGCAUCUCAUCAUUCAAAACUUAUGGUCCACAAUGUUUCCAAGUUGCAGGGCACCAGAAAGAUUGAGGCCCUUUCUCUUGGCAAAUGUGGUGAGGGAAGAAGCUACACAGCCAAACAGUUUAAAAAAAUGACCAACCUGAGGUUCCUUCAAGUGGAUGGUGCUAGUUUCAUCGGAGAUUUCCAAAACUUACUUCCUGAGUUAAGAUGGCUUCAGUGGGAGGGCUGUCCCUCGGAUUUCGCUGCGGUCAACUUUCAUUCGAAGAAAUUAGUUGUACUCGAUUUGUCAUACAGUGCAAUUUCAAAGGACUGGGGAGGAUGGGUUCCACUCAAGGUAAGAUGUAAAGAAGGCAUUGAAGUAUUUUUUUAACUUAACAUUUUUUCCUUGUACAUAUAACAUUUGAAAAUUGAUUUUCAUAAUUAAACUAGCCGUUUUUGUUUAAUUUCAUAGUAUUGAAGGAAAACAUGGUGCCCGAUGAUUGCAUCUCUCUUUCAUUUGGAUUUGUCAUGUGCUUAUUUGAUAAUAUAAGUUGCUUAUGUCUAAUAAGCAAAUAUCUCCUUUGAAAUGUUAUUCGGAAAUAAAUGCAGUUAGCACUUGUACACCCUAACAUUCUUUUGCAAUCAAUAUGUUUAAAGACAUUUAUCUAUCGCCAUGACCAAACACUACUAAAAGAGACAUUUAAAAUUAAAUAGGACCAUUGUGAAGGUAUAGAGGAGCACGGGUAAUUUUUGAGGAAUUCUAAAAGGUCGAAAACAUAAGGAGUAACAAAAAAUCACAAGCUGCGACAGUCCAAUUACACUGACGUAUCAUUUCUUUCUUUCAGAAGGCAACCGAGCUCAAAGUUCUCAACCUCACGUUUUGUCAAUCUCUGAAAAGAACUCCCGACUUGUCCACUUUCAAAAAGUUGGAGAUUUUGACUCUUGUAGGUUGUGCGAAUCUAGAAGAGCUUCAUCCUUCUAUUGGAAAUUUGGCAUCAUUGAUUGAGCUAAACUUAGCAUAUUCAUCGAUGAAAAAAUUACCUAAAAGCAUUGGGAAUUUGCAAAAUCUGAGGAUCUUGUGUAUUUUUGGAACUGGCAUAACGGAAUUACCUGAGGCCAUUGGAAUGUUGACAAAACUCCAAAAGUUGGAAGCUUGGUAUUGCAAAAACCUGGACCAACUACCUAGUAAUAUAUGCGAAUUGAUUGCGCUGGAGGAGCUCCUCCUUGAGAGGUGUGAAAAGCUUCCGGAAUUACCAGAACUGCCCUCCGGCUUAAAAGAUUUAAGGAUCACCUGCCAGGGGCAGUCUUUGCCCCGUUUAUCCCAGCUAACCCAUCUCAAGGAACUCUCUCUUUAUGAUUGCCAUCGGCUUGAAUGUGUCGCAGAGGUUCCCAUUAGACUAUCGAACCUUAUUAUUGCAUGGUGCGAAAAAUUGAAAGCCUUGACGAAUUUGUCAGACUUGAAACACUUGCGAAAAUUCAGUAUUUUUCACUGCCCAUCUCUCGAAGGAUCGCCCGACGUGUCGAAUUUUAGGCGUACACGGAUGAGAGAGCUUGGCUUUAAAGAGACCCAGCGCCCUUAUUGGUUAUAUUUCGAGCGUUAGCAGGCGUCAAGAGCUACGGGGGGUAGAAGAGAAGGAUGGCUGGACGUCUAUGGAAUCUCUCUCUCUCUCUCUCUCUCUCUCUCUCUCUCUCUCUCUCUCGCUACUAGUCAGUCGCCCUGCUGGUUUCCGAGGCUCGAAGAUCGAAGCCACCGUUCGCACCGCCCAUCCACCGCAGGCAGGUGGGCAGGUCGGUCGGCACGGCGGAGAUGAUGACGGCAACGGCGACGAAGCGUUGCCACGGCUGGCAACGCCUUCUCCAUCCACUCCAGGUAAACGCACGCACACAUCUCUCGAGCUUUGCUGCGGUCUCUCAGCGUCGCUUCGGCGCGCCAGCUCAUCGAUUAUCCGAAUUGGAGAUUUUAGUUUGCUCGGUAGUAGCUAGCGCGGUAGUUUUGGCAGCAAUCGAGUGGGCGGUUGGAGCUGGACGUCGCGCUGGCUGCCAUGGUUCUGUCGAGAUUUGGUGAGUUGACCAAGGUCACGAGCAUAGGUUUGCUAUUUUGAGCUGAGGCUAGCAUGUAUUAGUCAAAUUCCUGCAUUGGCGACGUUCUAAAUGCUCUAGAUCGGCCACGAGUGGAUGUGUAGGGCGUGAUGCAGAUGAUCGAUCAAUCGCAUUUGAAGUUUAGAGUCGAUCGAACUCAUGUUGUAAAUUUGCAAUUGUAGAUAGUUGGGAUGGCGGUGUUCAGUUUCCUAGCGGUGGCCUUCUACGUCUUCUUGGGACUGUUGCUUCGGAGCGGGGCUGCUGAGAUCACCGUGACGACAAUAUUUUCUUUUGUGGUAACUCCCUUAGUGUUUACUUUGUGCCAUGAUGACAUUGAUUGCUUUUCUUUGGUCACAGGGAAUUGAUGGGAUUUUCCACAUAUUUCCCCCGAUUUUCAGGUUUUCUGGGCGAUGUUUCUGUUCGUCUAGUGUACUGCGAUAAAUCCAACGGAAAAGACCAGUUAUAGAAAGAAGAAGAGAGGCUCCGAAGCGAUGGCGCUCGCGGACUUUUGUGCCGAUUCCUCAAGCUCGCCCUCCUAGUUUCGAUGCUUGAUAUGCCUACCUGGGUACUUCUUCUUUCUCUUUUUCUUCUUGAAUGAUGAUGGAAGGAAGGUUGGGGGUUGAUAUUCCUGUGGAAGUCUAAUGGUGGCGCCUCUGUAUGUGUAUACAAAGAGAUAUGUAAUAAAGCAAAGAGAUUAGCCUGGGGAGAUAUCCUUUCUGGCAGGAUAUCAGCAAGUCUUCAGCACUUGACCGCUUAGCUUUGGAGAAGAUAGCAAACUCAAUAGGUAGAAGUCAGUAGCUAUGGCAUGUGGAUGAGCUGAGUAGGAAAGUAAUGCACAAAGCUCUGUGGAUAAGCUGGACAUUAUUGUUUGGGGUACCAUCUAGCAAAAUAGUUCAAACUUUUGCUUUUACAAGAUGGUGAACCCUCCAUUUGGAAUUGAAGUUAAAGAUGUGGGAGUGAAGGAUUGAAAAUUUGAUAAUAUCCCUGGUCUAUGAUGACAAAGAGAAAAAGGCACUUUGUCUAAGUCAAGUAGUUUAUUUUGUUUUAUCGCCUUUUCAGAGUUUAGUGAAGUUGGGUGUUGGGGCUUCUCUUUGUUUUCUUAUUCUGCUUAGUAGAUUUGUUUUUGGGGUUUGCAUUACCUUUUAUAGAGAUGGAUAGGUAUUUCCUUGUUACCUUACUUAUUAUACUUAUUGCAUAACAAAGAAACUGGGGAGAAAAGAGAUUGAGACUGGGUGAUGGAGGAGCGAUUCGUAAUGCUAUUUUGGGGAUUGAUGUUCGUCUGCCCACUGACAAACUAAUAUACAAUCAAUUAAAGAUGAACUGUGAUUACGAGUGGUACCUCUCCAUUGCAAUUAGGGUGUGCCAUGGAGUUUCUUCGUUGCAUGAACAACAACAUGUGUUAGGUUUGUUGGUGGCGAAAGUCAUAUUAAAAACGCAAGAGCCAAGAUUAUUGUGUUCAGCUGUGGACCUAGUUCUUGGGGCAUGAACUUUUGUCUUCCCAGCUCAAAGCACUCUUUGCCUUCCUCUUCAAGUGAUACAAAGGAGUCAAAAUUAUUUGAUGACACUGAUACUGGGAUAUAUAUCUAUGUUAAAUUGUUUUCCCUGUAUUUUAUUGCUCCUGAACUUUCUUGUAAUAAAAGAAGCAUCUUAUACACAUUGUUAGGAGUGAAUGGGGUCAUCGAGGUUAACCUAUGUCCAAGUAUAUGCCUUCUCAUCUCUGCUUUUGGGUGAUAUGGUGGAGUUUUCACUCUUUGUUGAUGGUAUUUCAUUGUCAUGGUUUGCUGAAAGCGGAUAAGUUACUCUUGGAUUAGUCAGAGCAUUAUGAUUAGUGGCUAGUAAUUAUACCUAUGCAAGAUCUGAAAAUUGUUUUAGGAUUGCUAUCUGCGUAGGAUGCAAUUAAAAGAUGGAACUUGGUCACAUCAAAAGUCAUUCCCAAUUGGGAUCAAGAGUAGGAUCAUUGGAGAUGUAGGAUGGGAUUUCUAAUCCCAGUCCCAGAUAUUCUUCUUGGCCUAUUUAAUUAGCAAUCAAUCUCAUAGUAAACCAAAUUAGGCUCCAAUUCUCAUUGUGCAUGACCCAUUGUACGUCUAAAACAAUAUCUAAAGGCCAAACCUGUUAAUUAGGGCUAACUUUGGGGAUUGAACUAUGAGGGAAUUAUAAAUGAGAAUGAGGUGUUGCCCUCAUCUUGAAUUAGAUUGGAUAGAAGUUUUGAUUGGUAGUUGUGGUGAGGCUGAAGAUUCUUUCUAUACAGACUUGGGCGAAUCCAUAAGCUUUUUGCUGGAGUAAGGUAAAUGGACCAUAUGCUGUGCCUCCACAAACGGCAGUGUAGCCCAAUGCCAACACCUUUGUACAGCAACCACCUCUACUGGCUGGGGACAGAAUUCUUUUUCAUGUUACAACAUAUAGCACUUUACCUUGUCUAUUUCUUUCAUCCUCCUCUCUCCUUCUUUUCACUGCCAUCAUCCGGUUUUGCAUUUGUUUUAUUCUCUUCUUUACUUUUGCCUUAGAUGCUUCUCUAGUUAACUUUCUUUUAAGAGAUACGAGAGCUUCUUCAGUGACCUGCUUCUGCUGUGGUGAUAAUAGUGCUUUUGUCUUCUAAUUUUGAGCUUCAUUCCCUCUUUUCAAAGAUAACAUACAGGUAAUAGUACAGAAAAAAGAUAAGAUCUAUCACUUUAGACCUUAAUUUUCUGUAGGGUCUUACAAUCAUUAAUUUAAAGUAAGGUCCAAUUUCUAUUAUUUUGGGAUCAAUCUUAACAACCUUUACCUCAAGGGGUUGAUUUUAUAUUGCAAGGAUUGCCUCCUAUAUAUGUACUGAUUAGAUCAUGAACUGUUGUUUUGUGUAGCUUUGACAUGCCAUCUAUGUAUAACUAUCUAAAAAAAAAGAAUGUGCCUGGCAUAUUGACAUGGGAAUUGGCUCUAGGCAAUCUAUUGGGAUGCGAGAUCUCUGGCCUGGUGCUUGUGCUCUAGAAUCUAGUAUGGUGGAAUCCUCUAGAAUCUGGUAUUGCGGAAUCCUCUUCAGUUUCUCACCUUCUGUUUCUGGAUUCUCUCCCAUGAUUGCCCCAAAUUUUUACUUUUUGUUCCCCUAUU
rnacentral:lncRNA from 1 species